UGUGGAGUCUUCUUUCCCCAAUUUCUUUUGUGUUUUUAGAGAUCUGGAGGGAUUUGUAGUUGCAAAGCGGUCUGGUUGCUUUCUUUUGUAUUGUUUUGGCCGUAUGUGGACAGUUGAGAUGAGGAAGCAAGAAAAAGCGAGUGAGAAAGGGAUCAUCAUCAAAUUUAUGACAGAAGUUAACAACUCUACCUGGCUACCAGUUUAAUCGUCAGAAUAUUAGAUUUUGAGGAUGAAUGAAACUUGAUGUUCUGGUAAAGCGGCAUGAAGGUUUUUGAGUUCUUUGAAGCUAGAUAUAGGUGUAUUUACUUCCUUUUCUCUUUAUCAUUUUUUGUGAAUAAUGGAUGAAAACUGGAAUAUAAAUAUAGCUGUAGGUUAACAUUCGGACAAGCUGGCCUGUACAUAUAGUUCUUGGGGAAGAUUCCCUAGGAAAAGUUUGUGUUCUAUCCAAAAGAAAACACUUGUGCAACACUCUACAAUUUAGGCCACGUGUUUGGACCGUGCCUAACUCGGAUUUUGGACCAGGAUAUCUGCGACUUUCUGGGUUUAUUGUCGUAAAGCAAUCUUAGACAAUUAAAAUGGUGUCCAGGGCAAAAAAACUAUAGUGUGCAAACAAUGAAGACAACAAAAUGAACAAUGUCGUGAUUGAGCUCCAGUUUUCUUAAUUUUGCUUCAGAUAUUGUGAAGAAAAUUUGUGUGGGAACAGACACAUGUGCAAGUAUGAACUUUUCCAAGCAAAUUCUCUAGCCCUAGGUAAAGAAUAGAGGGUAGGCAAAAAGAAGAUAGAAGAAAGAAAAGCAAAAGAUAAAAGAAAGGAAAGCAAAAGAUAAAAGAAAGGAAAGCAAGGGACUAAAAGUUACCAGAAACUUUCAUGAGUUCAGGUUAUGUACGUUGGGUAUCACUUUUUCCCUACAUAUAUAUAGGCCAUAAUGACUUGAAUCUUCCAAAACGUAGCUAAAUUCUAAGUUUCUAACCAUCUGUCCAACCAUACAAGUGCUUGUGUGAGGGCCCAGUCUAUUGAUCGGCUCGCACUUACCUUGGUCCUAUGGGCCAGGCCCAAGGCCACCGUGCCCUGUGGCACGAUGCAGUAGAGAAGAAGACUUCAAUGGGAGUCUUCUUCCUCCCUCUAAUUUUGGUAGAAAUCGAGGACUUCCAAGGCAAUCCGACUUCAUCUAGAACUGGAAAACUUUCACCUAUUUAAUCCCUCUCCUCCUCCUUUGAGUUCCACCACCAGAAUUACUAAAGAUCGCCGCCAAUUUCAAGCCUUCUUCUCCAAGUCUCCUCCUUGAUUUGAUGCCGGAAAGCCUCGCCGGGCGAAGGUAUGAGUUCUUCAUCUCCUCUUUUUUCCUCAGUGUUUUAGCCUUCGUUCCCUUGGAUUAGAACCGACAAAUUGCCGGAAACGGAGCCCUGUUUUGGCUCCCUUAUUCCGAGUACAUCGUCGUCGUUGGCAUUCAUCGUCGAAGCCUACAACCACUUUCUUAUAUCAGUCCUUGGCCGAAGCCGGACCUCCAGCCGCUGACGAGCGGGCUGGGAUCCGAGUACAUUAAGCCAAGAAAUUUUUCUUCUUAACCCUUGUUUUGUUUGAUUUUGGCCAGUUGCCACCGCCGACCGCCCUCCGCCUCAUGUGUCCACCUCGCCGGACCACCAUGACCAUAGCCACCAGUUGCCUCCUUCUUCUAUUUUGCCAAGAAAGAAGAAAAGAAAAGGAAGAAAGAAGAAAAGAAGAAAAGGAGAGAGAGAACCAUCCCUCUUUUUCUCUCUUAUUUUCUCUCUUCUCUUUGUUUCUCUUUCUACUUUUUCUCUUUAGAAGAUCAAUGAAACCUGAUAUCGGAUCUUGUCGAUCUAAUCUACGAACCUGAGUUGACUCCUAUAAAGGGUCCUGAUCCGUCUUGGUGCUCAGAUUGCCUAUUGGAUUGAUCACCUUGGCCCUAUUGAAUGUCCUUUAAAACCUUCAUUAAUGAACCAUGUUGAUUAACCUUGGCCCUGAUCAAGUCUAUGCUUUAUAAUUUAUUGAUCGAAUCGCUUAGGCCUAACACACCCGAAAUCGUCAUACGCUAUCAUCCAGCUAAUCAUCCUUAUUUCUUAUUAUUUUAAUUCGAUUAAAAUCAUGAAACAUAAAUUAAUUUCACUUUUAAUAUUUUUAAUAGGGUUAACUGGACUGCCUAAAAAAGUUUGACGAUCUAAGACGAAAGAGAUAAGUAGAUCUUGUACUCAUUACUUUUCAAAUGAUCAUAUUUUACGUGUAUAAAUUUGCUUGUGAAAAUAUCAUAUUUUUCUUAGAAUUAUGGAUCAACAUAUGCGUUAUGAAAAUCAUCCUUUAUUACGAAACUUAGUUUUAUGAAUAUUUUGAUAAAAAUAGCUUUGUUAUGAAAUAUGAAUUUGAUCCUGCCAUUUAGUAUUUUUAAUCUAUAUAUGUGAAUGUUUUAAGAAAAAGAUAUAAGUUUUCUAAAGUCUCUUAGAUAGCUUUGUAUGAUCUCUAGAAUUAGGAAAAUCGAUAUCCGAAGCUAGCAUCCAUACGAACGCAGGCUCUACUAGCGGGUAUAAAGUUGGCACACAAAACAUAAAUCUAUGCCGAUUACGAACAUCAGUUCUAUCAUGGAUAUAGAGCGACCGUAGCACAAAUAUCUGUGAGCAAUGUUUUGAACUAUGAUAUGGCUAAAUGGCAGAAGAAUGAUUUAUGUAUUUAUUUGUAAAAUGAACUUGAAACUAUGUUUAUGAAAUAUGGAUGAUUUGUUUAAACAUGAUUUGCUUUAUGAUUUGUUUUAAUAUACUAUACUAUAAAAUAUUUUAUUUUGUAAUAUCUAUUAUUUUUCUUAAAUGAUGCAUUGACAUGGAAAAACGUAUACUUGAUUCAGUAAAGUAGAGUAAGAUUUUACUUACUAAGUUGUGUUGUUCAUAUAUAUCUCUUUUUUUUACUUUUCUCUCUCCAGACGAAUAGGGUCGAUAGGAAUAAAGAAUGGUCUAGACUUGGAGUUCGCGCUAGCAAGCUUGGCGAUUGUAUAGAAGAAUUUUAGUAUUUUAAGUUGACUAUAAAUUUAUAGUUAAUGAUUUUUCUAAUAUUGAGAAUUAUGGAUUUGGUAUUUAUGUUUGAAUUUAGACGCUCUGAACCAGUAUUGGUUGUAUUUAAUGGAUAAUAAAAUUGAAUUCCUAUUUAUUCUAUUGUAUUUGAGAUGGAUUUGAAGCUAAUGUAAUUUUGGCUUCGUGUUAUCGUAGACUGUCCCAGAUCCGGAGCAUGAUAGGGUCAUGCUUCUGAGGGGUACAACCCAGGCUUAUUAUGAUAUUUUAAUAUUCCCCAUUGUUUCAGAAAAGUAUUGCCAGCAAGAAUCAGAAGCGAAAACUAGAUUCCAAGCUGAAAAUUAACCAAAAAAUGACAGAUAAAAGAAACCAAUGCAUAAUAUUACGAUGAUACUUAUUAUAAGGUGCAAUCCAUGUUCGAUGUUUUUGACUACCUAUUAUGCUUAGAUUGAUGAAUGGGUGAUGUCAUGAUGGGGUUUCUUUGGAUGCCUAGAAUUCAUAUCCUUAUGAUAUCGAAGUGUAGAAGGACAUGUGGCAGUUAGAGGAAAGAGAGAGGGAGGUUAUGGAUGUGAAGAUUCUAAGUAUACUGGGAUCCCUUAAGAAGUUGGUCUCCGGUAAUACCAAAGUUUCAGAGGUUGGGAAAUCUAGUAGCCUGCCUUGAUCAGUCCAUUUCUCACUCACCAUCCAUGCACUUCUCAAGACAUCAUUGCUACCUACUCAUGUGAGGGAUCACAGACUAAGGAACUGGCAGCCAAAAAGAGAGGAAGUAAAAUGAUUUGCAACGAAUUCAUGUCAGCGAAUUAAAAGAAAGAAAAUGAAUUUUGAUAUCUUCAUAUAAAUCAGAAAAAAUACCUAUAUAACCAUUUUGCCUUUCUCUUUCAUUUCUCUAGGCCAAAAGCCCAAUGUAUUUUAGGCAAAAUAUUUCAUUGUGUGAAACUUCAAUCGUUGUAUAAUGAGAUAAGUCAUCUUGGAAGUGGGAGAUAAAGAAAUACAUCAAUAUCACCUGCUCUAAUGGCAUAUCAUUUGAAGAAUCCAGCAGAGCAGAGGGAGGGGGAUGUGAAAUGAGUUUUGGAUAUUUGGUAAUGGUUUAUGUGGAGCAAAAACUACUAUAUUGUCUACCAUUUAAGUUCUUUCUUAUAGGAUAGCUUAUCAAGUCAAUAGGUGAUUUAUAGUUAAAGUUUAUGUAUUGUCUGUGGAGUUAUAUAUAUGUCAUUCCUAUCGACCCCAUUCGUCUGGAGAGAGAAAAAUAAAAAAAUAGAGGUAUAUGAACAACAGAGCUCAAUAAGUAAAAUCUUACUCUACCUUACUGGAUUAAGCAUAAAAUUUUUCAUGUUAAUGCAUCAUUUAAGAAAAAUAACAGAUAUUACAAAAUAAAGCAUUUUAUAGUAUAGUAUAUUAAAAUAAGUCAUAAAGCAUAUCAUGCAUGAAUAAAUCAUCCAUAUGUCAUAAACAUAGUUCUACGUUCAUUUUGCAAAUAAAUACAUAAAUCAUUCUUCUGCCAGUUAGCCAUACCAUAGUUCAAAACAUUGCUCACAGAUAUUCGUGCUACGAUCAUUUUAUACCUGUGGCAGGGUCCGUGUUUGCAGUCGACAUAGAUUCAUGUUUCGUAUACCAACUUUAUAGCCAUUGGAGGACUUGUGUUUGUAUGGAUGCUAGCUUCAGGUGUCGAUUUUUUCAAUUCUAGAGAUCAUAUAUAUCUAUCUAAGAGCAUUUAGAAAACUUAUAUCUUUUUCUUAAAACAUACACAUAUAUAAAUAAAAACACUAAAUGACAAUCAAAUUCCCAUUUCAUAGCAAAGUUAUCUUUAUCAAAACAUUCAUAAAAUUAUUUUUCGUAAUAAAGCAUAAUUUUCAUAACACAUAUGCUGAUCCAUAAUUUUAAGAAAAACAUGAUAUUUUCACAAGCAAAUUUUAUGCACGGAAAACAUGAUCAUUUGAAAAAUAAUGAGUACAACAUCUACUUACCUCUUUCGUCUUAGACUGUCAAACUUUUCUAGGCAAUUUAGUUAACCCUAUUAAAAAUAUUAAAAGCAAAAUUAAUUUCUGUUUAAUAAUUUUAAUCGAAUUAAAAGAAUAAAAAAUAGGGAUGAUUAGCGGGAUAAUAGCAUUCGACGAUUCUUGAUGGGUUAGGCCUGAGCGAUUUGAUCAAUAAAUCAUAGGGCAUGGACUUGAUCAGGGCCAAAGUUAAUCAACAUGGUUCAUCAAUGAAGGUUUCAAGAACAUUCAACAGGGUCAGGAUGAUCGGUCCAGUAGGCAGCCCGGACACCAGAACGGAUCAAGGCCCUUUACAGAAGUUAACUCGGGUUCGUAGAUCAGAUCGACAAGAUCUGAUACUGAGUUUCAUAGAUUUUCUAAAGAGAAAGUAGAGAAACAAGAGAAGAGAGAGAAAACAAGAGACAAAGAGGGAUGGUUCUCUCUUCUAUUUUUUCUUCUUUCUUCUUUCUUGGCAAAACAGAGAAAGGUGGCUGUGGUCAUGGUGGUUCGGCGAGGUGGAGACAUGAGACAAAGGGCGGUCGGCGGUGGCCAGCCAGCCAAAAUCAAACAAAAAAAAGGGUCGAGAAGGAAAAUUUCUUGGCUCAAUGUACUCGGAGCCCAGCCCGCUCGCCGGCGGUUGGGGGUCUAGCUUCGGCCAGGGACUGAUGCGGGGAAGCGACCAUUGGCUUCGGCGAUGGACGGCAGCGGCGUACUUAGAAGAAGGGAGCCGAAACAGGGCUCCCAUGUAUCGGAAGGUAUUCCGGCAAUUUGUCAGCUCCAAUCCAAGGGAAUGAAGGCCAAAACACUAAGGAAGAAAGUGGAGGAGAUGAACUCAUACUUUGGUUCGGCGAGGCUUUCCGGCGUCGCAUCAAAGAGACUCGGAGAAGGCUUGGAAUCAGCGACGAUCUUUGGAGAUUCCGGAGGUGGAACUCAAGGGAAGAGGAGGGGGAUAAAAUAGGUGAAGUUUUCGAGUUCUAGAUAAACUCAGAUAGCUCUGGGAGUCCCCAAUUUUCGCCGAAAUCGGAGGAGGAAGAAAACUCCUAUCGAAGUCUUUUUCUCUGCUGCAUCGUGCCCCAAGGCACGAUGGCCUUGAGCUUGGCCUCUUCGGGCCUGCCCACAGGCCCAAGGCAAGUGCGGGCCGGUCAAUGGACCGAGCCCUCACAUUCUUGCCCCCUUAAUAGAGUUUCAUCCUCGAAACUUAACCCACCUUCAUUCUUUAACAAAUUAGAAUAUGUAGUUCACUUCUACUCCAUCGUACUUCCACCGUGCAACUCUUAAACCAACUCUUCUAAGGCUCAAAACUCUUGACCGAUUUGUAUUAACCUUAACUUCCUCAUCUAAGUGAUAAAAUUCUUAAACAAAACAUCUAUAAGAAUAGCUUUCUUAAGAGAGAUGACAACGCAUAAAGGCUUGUUCAAUUCUUCGGAUAUGCAUUCCAAAGAGGUAGAAACUUAGAAGAUGCAAGGAAUAUAAGAAUCACAAUUGAAUAGUGCAUGAACAUUUAUAAAGUUGUCUAGAAUGAUACCUGUCACUAUUUGAUCACUUGCACUAGCAUCCUGCUUGGUCAUAGCGAACAUCCGUUCAUUUCUUUUUUGUUUCUGAUUGACUGGUUUGGUAGGUUUUAAAUUAUCCUUUUUCUUGAUAGGGCAAUCUCGUGCCAUAUGUCCCACUUUGCCAUAUGAAAAAUAUGCUCCCAACUUCUUAAGACAAGGUCUAUGAUGACUCAUGCCACAAUACCCGCAAGUGCCACAAUACCCACAAGUGUCUGAUCUGUUCUUUUUGUUAGAGUUGUUUUCUAAGUUUUUGCAUGGGUCGUUUUGAGUUUCUGCAGGUUUGGGCCUCUUCUUGUCACCCCUUUUCUUCUUCGAUCUCUUCAAAUCUGAUUUGACCUUCAGGGCUCUUUUCAGCAAAUUUUUAUAACUACUGAAGAGGUGAGACGACAAACGAGACCGGAUCGGAUAUCUCAAACCCUGUUCAAAUCUAUUAGCCUUGCUCCUUUCGGACUUCAAGAGUUGGGGACAGAAUCGGCCUAACUCGUUAAAUUUGUUUGCAUACUCUAAUACUGUCAUGUCAUCGUUCUGCCCCAAGGCUAAAAACUCAUUUUUUUUGCUAAUUUCAUUAACUCGGAAAAGUAUUGAUCAUAAAAUAUUUUCUUAAACUCUUCUGGUCAUUCUCAUUCCCAUUAGCAGCUUUUAUAGCGGUCCACCAAGACUCAGCAUUUUUCUUGAGGAUCGGUAUGGCCAUUCUAACUUUUACGUCCACGGGAUACUGCAAUGCAUUGAACAUCUUCUCCAUCUUCCGAAUCCAAGUCUCUACGAUCAGAGGAUCAACUCCACCCUCAAACAUUGGCGGGUGGAACUUUUUGAAUCUCUCGUAAUAGGACUCUCGAGGUGGUGCAUGUCUAGGAGUGGCCUACAUUUGCUGCUGCUGCUAAAGGAGCUGAGCCACCGCCUGACAUACUCCAACAAUGUCUGCCCCAGUGGCUGGCGCACUUGGAGCUUGCUCAACCGGCUGGUUGGCAUCUCCUCUCGUGGUCACUCUUGCUCCUCUCUAUUGUUCAUGAUCACCUAUUAAGAUACUAAUAUUAAUCAAUUUUCAUGGUUAAACAAUAGAGAAAAUAAGAAUAUCUAUUUUUUUUAUUCAACUACGCGGAACCUAACUAAACAGGACCUAACUACCCAUUGCUAAACUUUAAGUUUUACCCACGAUCAAACCUACUGCUCUGAUACCAUUUGUAACAACCCAGGACCUCACCCAAAAUGGCUAGCCGAAAGGUAUUAUUUGAAUUUUUCGAUUUCGUAUAAGUACCCAAGAUCUACCCAGUGAAUAACUAAUGUGGGACUAAACACACACUCGCACGGGUUCUUACACACUCCUCUGUUUAAGCUCCGACGUUCUUGUUAGGCUAAGAGUUCAAAUUCAUUCAAAUCUAAUCACAAGCACCACGAUCGGCCUGUGAUCAGCUCCAAUGGAUCCAUGCUGCAGUGUCCCCUAGUCCAUAUAGGUUAUAUGCUGGAUCCACUCUGAUACCAUUUGUAACAACCCAGAACCUCAUCCAAAAUGGCUAGUCGGAAGGUUUUAUUUAGGUUCCCUGAUCUUGUAUAAAUACCCAAAAUCUAUCCAGUGAAUAAUCAAUGUGGGACUAAACACAUGCCUGCAUAGGUCCUCACAACUGGCCCUUUUAACUAGAGGACGAGUGAGUUUCACAUCCCUGAUCCAUUAGCCUUUCAACUAGAGGGCGAGUGAGUUUCACAUGGUAGCUUGGUUUGAAUGAGUCCGUCUUGUUCACCCAACACAUCUAAAAGGUGUCCUAUUGAGGCAUUCAAGAUCAUGUAUGAUGUAAAUGAAACAGACUUCCGAAUGGUAAUUUCUAGCUGUUGCGAGUGAUGACUGUGAGUUCAUCCAAAGUAAGGAAUAUUGUAAUUGUUUUUUAAGCCUAAGGAAGUAUUGGUCUGCAAUUAAUCAAAGAUGGCACUUAAGUUCUAAGUCUACCACUGUACAUAUUUUAAGUAAACAUGGGGUUUCCACAUAAACAAAAAAAUGUUAGAUAUCCAAAGCCUGCCAUAGCUGAUGCAUAGUGGUUGGUAGCGUUGUCGAGAGCUUUGCCUUUUCUUCUAGGAAUUUGGUAGGAAGAAAAUGUUGUUUUAUAUCUAGUGGCCUUUUCAAUUUUGAUUUGAGUUUUGAUUGAUCAAUGAUGACAAUGAUGAACCUAAAAUCUGAGGUGUUCCUUUUAUGUACACCAUCCCCCCCAAAAAAGGACCAAACCACUCACAGAAAACACACUCACUGCUCCCCACCUGCCCACCCAAAAGAAAAAAAAUCUGAUAGCAUGCAGCUGCAGAUGAUUAAUAACAGUGUGUCUCUCUGUUUAUAACAAAAUUUCUAGUGGAAGUAGAUGCUGUAUGAGCUAGUGAUGCAGUUUUUUAUUAUUCAAAUAUUAUCUUUGGAUAACCAAAGUGCUUUUGCUCUAAGUUGGAUGGUGAUACAUUUAGACUUAGAUGUUUCCUUGCAGAUCAUUCUGACUUUGUAAGUUUCUACAUAUAUGAUAUGCAGGAUUGGGAUAAGUCCUUCCUGGAAAAUCUUUAUCUCACAAAAGGCAUUGUAGGUAGCAACAUUUAUUGUACUUCAAUUAAAGAUGAAUUUGUCCAGCAAAGGUCUUGCAAACAAGGAUGCUAAGUUAAAUUCAUUGAAUAAACUUACCACGUUAAAUCCCAAUGCAGCUGAAUUUGUUCCUUCAGCCCUUAGAAAUACAUAUGGAAACACUGAAAGAGCAUAUGGAACCAGGCUGGAUGUUCCAGGUUCUUCGAAAAAAGCAGUCUUAGAUCGGUCAGAAUCUAGUAUUUCAAAUAAUUCAGAUGAUGAAGCACAUCAGUACUGGUGCUGUCAGCUUCCUGAUGAUAUUACUCCUGACUUCGGAGUCAUAGGAGAAGAAGAGUCGCAUGGAGCUGGGCGUCUCUCACUUGCAGGUUUAUCAAUACAGGAUAGUGUUGAGACAUCAAGAUUCUCAACAUCCUCUGCCAGCCAGACAUUGGGUAUGCGGCAAAAUUUAUCUUCUUUUACCAGCGAUGGUCUCAACUUGGGUGAGAAAAUGGGAUAUUCUGGCUCUAUCUAUACUGAUGAGCAUUCAUCUGCUGCUUUCAUGACAUCGGCUUCUAGUCCCUGGGGCAAACCAUUCAUAAAUGCUGAACAACAUCAGACCAAUGGAAGGGAUGGACAUCAUUACAAUGGAAAUUCUAGUGCAGUUUCAGUAAAUGAUUUAAUAGGUGAUAAUGCGGUCAUCAAGGAUGCUGCCAUCAAUCCCAUAGAGUUUCUGUCAUCACAGUUUCCUGGUUUUGCUGCUCAGAGCCUUGCAAAUGUUUAUUACGGAAAUGGAUGUGAUUUGAACUUGACAAUAGAGAUUCUUACUCAACUUGAGGUAUUGUUUCCAUCUAUUCAAAUUAUUAUGCUUUUGUACACACUUUAGGUGUCCCUUUUCAGAACCUCUAAUCUUGGAUUUCAAGAGAUCAGAACUUCGGUUGUCUCAGCAGAUUUGCUAUCCUCUACAUUGCCUAGGCAUAGGAAUCGUAUCUUCUGGCACUUUGUUUACAAGAAUCAGCGAGACCAGAAAACUAGUUGACAAAUGUAGCAUGCUGACUGAAAUCAAGUUUUGAUGGGAGAGCCUUCAAGAAUGCUAGCCUAGCUCUGAUGUGAAUAUGCAAUUAUGAUAGGAAGAGGUCCUUUGAAGACCAACGAGAUACUGUUCAAAACCAGAUUUUGCUUAUAUAUACGCAUUUCCAUGUGAUGAACACAUCUUCAAAUCUAUUGUUAAUUUGAUAAUCUAUUUUACUCUUACUAAUUAAAGUGUACUUAUUUAUUCAAAUAAUAUGGGAGUGGAUUGCUGCUAUAGGUUUUACAUAAUGAACAAUCAAACAAAAAAGAGAACAAUAUUAGGUCUUAUGAAGCAUAGUAGAAACAUUUCAUUUGCUUUUUUUAUUUGGGAGCUGGAUUUUUCUCAAAUUGAGGGUAAGUGUUGGCACAAUGGCAAGGUUGCUCCAUUGUGACCUGAGUGUGACCCUCCCCAAACCCCAUAGUAGUGGACUGGGCUGCCCUUUUGGGAUUUUUCUCAAUAUACAGGAGGUUUAUGAACAAAAAGUAAUGUUUUUUCAUCUCUUCAACAGUUGAAAAGAAGUAUUUCUGCCCCAUUUCAUAUUGAAAAGGUUUUUUCCCUCUAUCAAUUGCUGUGGAAUAUAAUAAAGCAGAAUAUAUGCCUUUAAUUGUGACAAUUUAUGAUCUUUCUAAGUAAAAACGUCAUUCCCAAGAGUGAGUAGAUUGAUGUUUCUUUUAUACCGGGCAAAUUAGAGAACAGGAUUACUCCCACUUUUUGUCAAAAAAAAGUUUCGAUCAGGUUUCUAUUUAUUGGUGAUUCCUGUGGAUGGUAUGCCAGGAAGAGCAAUUUUAGGGCAAACGUGGGUCAGGGUAUUUCUUAGGAUGGUUGAGAGGAUUGGCUUAGGUUCUGGUGAACAUACUGACUGUUGUAUCAUUAAGAUCUUGCUGUAGUUCAAAUGGAUAUGUGAAGUGCUUUUAUUUUAGAUUCAUCGACCAUGUUGUCAGUUUCUAAACCAGGAACAUAUAGUAGGAGAGAGUUCCACUUCAGGACCUACUUGCUUUGUAAUUUGUCAGCAUAACUAUAAUUUGAUUUAUUGUUUUUUUAAUCUAAAGCAAUCAUUAAACAUGCUGGAACUUUUUCCUUUUAGAGAAGCCAUGCUAGGGCCGUCCUUUUUCUAGUUUGUGUUAAGAAAUCUGAUAUUUUCACAUGUUCUAUUCUUCUGAAUCUUGCAAUUGCUGAUUUUUUAAUUUUUUAUUUCUUUUUUUGGUGUUGGAAUUGAGAUUUGGGUAUCACCAGGUAUAGUGAUGUUUUGAUGUUUUCUAGUUGCAAAAUGAUAACAUUAUGUUCACUAACUAAUAUGGAUGUUCGAUUUUUGUUGUUUGUCAGAUAGAGUAGUAGUAUAUCUUGCUAAUAAUUUUAGGAUAUCACCUGGUAUGGUGAACUAGUGAAGGUCGGGCAGUGCAAUAUUUGAAGUUUUCUGUUCAGGUUUUUGCAGUCAGAUUCUGCUAAACUUGGGGGGGAAUGAAAAGAAUGUGGUAGUUUCUAUGUUUUCUAGUUGUGUAAUGCGUCGAUUAUUGUCAUGUUGUUUUGUCCCUAUUUUUGAGUAAUCUUUUGUAAGAAUUGAUCCGGGGCAUUAUGAUAACAUUAUCUUACUUACAAUGACAGCUUCAGGCAGAUGGUGGUUUUAAUCAGAACCUUAAUUCAAACUCAUUGGCAACUCCAAGUCUUAGCAUGCUGGAUUUUCCUGGUCUGCCAGUGGCGGAUGCUCAAAGUGGGCUGUUAAAGUAUCCUGGAGAAGACAAGCAGCAGGCUCCCAAUACAUAUAGCUCCACUUCUAGUAUCUUUAGAGGCGGUAGAGAUUUUGCUUCAACUGUUAGAAAGCUUGCAACCCAGAGAACUGGUCAUUGGGGAUAUGAGAGGAAUAGUUCUGUGGAUGAUGGUCUUCACUCAAGUAGAAGCUCCCAACUUUUAGCUAGCUCAUAUGGUCACCGCAAAAUGGCUUAUGGUGAUAAAUUGCAAAGUUCAGGUGCAACUCGGGCAGCUCCAGUUUGGCUUGAGACUGGAGAAGCAGUGGGUAAUUUUCUUAAGAUGUUUUCUUGUAGCUGAUCAACAUUGUUCUAUAAUAUUCAUUUAAUUCAGGUAGGGGUUUUCCCUUAUAUAUCAACCAAUUUUGAGAUGACAGCAAGUAUGUAUCUGGAGUCAAGGGAGGAUGCCCGUGAUUUUGCACGCCUUCGGAAUACAUGCUUUGAACAGGUAGAUGCGUUCUUAUUGAUGACUUCUGUGCAGUGGUAGUCAACAUCAUAUUAUCUAGACGAUCAGAUAGAACAUGCUAAUAUGGAUCUUUAGUAAUGGAUUACUAUUGUUGGAUAAAUAAAUAGCUAAUUAUGAUAAUGUUCAAUGUUUCUGUAUUGGAGCAACAUUCCCUAUAUCUUUUUUUCUUUUCUUGGUAAUAUACAAGCUUAGGUCUACAUAUUAGAAUGUUAAUGGUUGCAAUGUCUGUUUCUUGUUUCUGUUUUUAUAAUCAGAAUAUUGUGAUAUGAAAGUAUGUCGGGGAACAAAGUUUUUAUUCUCUGAUUUUGAAAAAUAGCGCAAAGAAAAAUAGAACACAAAUGGCUCUAAGAUUUCCUGUUUCAAAUUGAAAUGCAGUUCUAACUAUGAAAUAAGUUUUCUAUUUUCAAGAAAUAUGGAAAUAAAACGAAAACAACUGGAAAUAAAAGCAUGGAGGAAAGAAAGAAAAAAGAAAAAGAAAAUUAGCAACCCAAUCUAAUGGGCCUUAAAGAAUCCAAUACCUUUUUGGUAGAAAAUAUUACUUUGCUUUUGCUAGUGCAAUAGAUUGCUAAGCAGUACGCUACUUGGACCCUUUGGUUUAACUUAAAGUUUCUAAACCUGAUGGUUAGACAUGGUAUGGUCCACAAGGAAAAAUAUUGAGGAUUAGAAGGAUCAGACAUCUAGGUGAGAAUUUGUAACUUUAUGAAGGAAAAAUUACCGGAAAACCCCCUCAACUUAGGAUCAUUUCAUUUGGUAAAAGAUUUCAAUCUGAUCCUUGAAGUUAGUUAAGUGGUUCAAUAUAGUCUCGAGCCCCACUUGGGGCUCAAUACCAUUAAGAUGUUGUCUAAAAGGACAUAAUUGCCACCUCUUUGUCCUUUCUUUUCUUUAUUUCUUCCAAAAAUACACCCUCCUCUCCCAGGCUCCCCUCUCUCUCCUUUCAUGCCAUCUCUCGCCAGUAUAGACCAUGAGAUGAGAUCCUAUCCCCCAUCUUCAUCAGGUGCUGAGAGUUGGCGGCAUUAAAUGCAAUCCAAUUAAGCUUGCACCCUUGCAUUUUCCCCACCUACCGCCGACUUAUUGUAGUUCUCUUCCUCUGCCUAUCCUUUGCUGCUGGCAAAGAGGACCUCUCCUUGUCUUGGGUCCAAAAGUUUCGGGACACCUUCCUCAUAUGCCAAAAAGAGUUUUGUGUGAUCCUCUUCAAUAGCAAGGGGAUCCUCUCUUGCACCCCUUGGCCACCUCAUCUCCAACUUCUUCGAGUGUGAUGUUAGUGGAAGAAGCACCUCGAGAUCGUCAUCAUCGCCCUUGAUCCUUUCCUCAGCGCCCAUAAGGUCCUCAGUGACCUCACGAUCCUCAUGCUUGACGAGAAGGAGGUUCGCUCCAUCCUUAACCACCACAACCCACUUGCAACCAUGGUUAAAUGGAAAGGAGAAGACGAUGAUGAGGGAGGGAUCUUUUCCCCAGGUUGGCUUCUAGUUUUCUUAAGAUUGGCUAGCGUUCUGUUUCUUUUUCUUCUUCUAUUCCCGGUGGCUGUGAUGUUCUUCUCCUUGCUAUCUUUUUCUUGGAUUUUGUUGGUUUUAACAGGGGCCUUCUUGUUGUUGUUCCUUCUGUUCUAGGUGGGCAAUGGUUGUGAUGUUCUAUUUUUUGCAAUUUUUUUCUUGGAUGGGCAAGGGCUGUGAUGUUCUAUUUUUGGCUAUCAUUUUCUAGGAUGUUCUAUUUCUUGUUAUCUUUUUCUUAUACUUUUGAGGUUUUAAUGGAGGCCUAAAAAAGCCUUCUUUUUUUCUUGGAAUUUUGGGACUUUUAAUUGGCUCAAUGUGGAAGAGCUGGAAUGGGUUUUGCUUCUCAUCAUCGAUGAUGACUCCUCAGAGUUCCUGAUGUUGUGCCCUGGCUUUGUGCCACCCUCUUCUUAUUAUGAUAUUCUAUUUCUUCUCCUCCUCAUUCUCCUCCUCUUCCAAGUGGGCAAUGGCUGUUAUGUUCUAUUUUUGUCUAUAUUCUUCUUGGAUUUUUGGGGUUUUAAUAGAGGCCUAAAAGAGCCUUCUUUUUUUCUUGGAAUUUUGGGAGUUUUAAUAGGUUCGAUGUGGAAGACCUAGAAUGGGUUUUGCUCGUCAUCGACGACUCAGAGUUUUCGAUGUUGUGCUCUGACAUUGUGCCACCCUUUCUGCCGCCUCCUAAAACCCAAGUGCUUGAGAACAGCAAACCGCUUUGCUAGUCUUUAUCUUAGUUGAGGGCAUUUUAAUCUGAAAAAUGUCCCAUGACCAUCACGUGAUGGAAUCCCAUAAGCUCAAGUAAAUGGGAUGGAUGGCGGGACCGUAUUGAACCACCUAACUGACUUCAAGGCAAGGUUCGCCGUACCGGUACCGAACUCCGUACCGGUGCCGCACUAGUAUAGGCGUACCGAGUGUCGGUACGGUACCGUACGCUCGGUACCGACCGUACCGACAUUGGUGUACCGAUACCGGUACCCAUCGGUACGGGUACGGUACGCUCGGUACCGACUGGUACCGACCGGUACAGCGAACCUUGCUUCAAGGACUAGAUUGAAACUUUUUAAACUCAAGAGGUACUAAGUGAAAAAAUGACCUUAAGUUGGAUGGAUGUUCCAAUAAUUUUCCCUUUUAUGAAACUUGAGUUUACCUGGAUGUCAAAUUGGCUCAACUUGUUCGAGUAAUUUUCGUCACUUUAUAUGAGUAUUUUUUGGUCAUAAACUUUGGUUUAGGUUGCUAAAUUGCUUCGAGCUAUGUGAUUUGAUUUGUUCUUGGCAUGGUCCUUGCUGUAUAUAGCAAUUAUUUUGAAAUUCUAUGGAACUUAUUUAAUGUUCUAAAGUUUGAUAGCGCAGCAAAGAUUAUUUAUCUCACACUUAUUCUAGCUGAGAGUACUAGCUAUUCAGCUUGGAACUCUAGUUAACCUUUAAUAGUUUAUGGCAGGCAAGACAAGCCUAUCUACUUGGCAACAAGGCUCUAGCAAAGGAACUGAGUCUGAAGGGGCAGGUGUACAAUAUGCAGAUGAAAGCAGCUCAUGAAAAAGCUAAAGAAACAAUUUACCAAAAGAGGUUAGUGUGUGUGUGCAUGUGUAUGAAGUAUUUCUGCAUUCUAGUUCCUAUUUAGUUACAAAAAUAUUAGUUAAAAUUUGGUGAUAGCAUCCCUAUACAUAUUUCUUGUUCAGCAGGUGACUUGUUCCUUUUGUUACACUGUAGUGUGAAUAUCAUGUUAGCGUGGAUAUGGUUUUUCAAAACAUGUGUACAUUUAAUACAAUAUAUGCCCAAAUGUACUAACAUACACAUACAUAUACACGUGUAUGCGUGUGUAUGUAAGUACAGCAUGGAUAUGUAUGCUCGCGCAUAUAUCUAUGUAUGUGUUGUUUAAUGUGUGCACAGAUACACAUCCAUUAGCCUCACACAUGCUAAUUUCUAGCUUAUCUAUGUUAGGAACAGACGAAAGUCCAGAUAUUUCCUCAAAGCACAAGAACUUCGGAACAAAUCUUGCAACACAUUAAGAUUACAUAGAUAAUAAAUUUUAGUUUGGGACAUCAUCUGUCUUUCUUACGCUUUGACUUUUUUGUUGAUAGGAUUCGAUAUAUUUGCAGUAUCAAGGGUGUUACGUGCAAAAUACUGGCAGAAUUGACUGAGCUGGCUCAUCAAAGUCAUAAUAACCAUAACUUCAUAUUUAUCAAGAGCCAACACUAAUAGCAUAAGCAUAAUCAUCAAUUAUUACCUUGACAUGUUGGGGUAUGCUUUCUGAUAUAGUUUUUGCCAGCAUGUCCUAUAAAAGUCUUAUCUAAUCAGUGACUUGGGAUUCAUGUGAUAAUUUAAUGUUUUGUUUACAAAUGAUAUUUUUAUGUCAGUGCUGCAUCCAUCCCACCCUUUUCAUCUGUAGUUGGAAUGGGUAUCCGGUGAUUCUACUUUUGCCCACGAUCUGACUGAUAAUUUAUAAUUUAUGUUUCAAAAAAGCGCUAGUAAUUAUACCUCUCUCCCCACCUGAUGAUCGAAGUACGAAGGUUAUCUGCCCUGACGGUCAAUUGUGCCAUUUGAACACAGGUUCGUAGUGUAUGUACAAUGUACACAGAUAUGCAUGCAUCACAGAAGCUUGCAUAAGUUGCAUUGACCCUAUUUUGAAUUCGUAGAAUGUUAUCACCGUGUAAAGUAUCAUCAACAGCCUAGGCAUACUGACUGCAUCGGUCAAUUGGACCGGUGGUUAUCUCCAUCUUCAUAAGAGUUGCUGGAAGUGCUUAGGAUUGCAAAAGUUAUCAUGUCGGCAGGUUUAUGAUUUGUUCUUUUCUUGCUACAAUUUUCCAGGAAUCCACUCUCACCUGCGCCUCAGGGCUCCAGCGGGGGACAGGACCAUCUGAUCGACCUGCAUGGACUUCAUGUGGCCGAAGCUAUACAUGUUCUGAAUCGCGAGUUUAGCAUUCUGAGGAGCAGGGCAAGGUCCACGGGGCAGCGACUGCAGGUCAUGAUAUGCGUCGGCACCGGUCACCACACCAAGGGAACCCGAACUCCUGCAAGGCUCCCUGCGGCGGUCGAGCAGUACUUGGUGGAGGAGGGUCUUCCAUGCACACAGCUUCAGCCAGGUCUGCUCCGUGUUGUGAUAUAUUGACAACCUGUAAGCUAUACCACAUGGAGGGAAAAAAAAAAAGAGAAAAUAAAUAAAAGGAAAAAUACGCAUACCUAAAUUCUNNNNNNNNNNNNNNNNNNNNNNNNNNNNNNNNNNNNNNGAGAGAGAGAGAGAGAAUAGUCUCUGGCAGCAGUAAUUGUAAUAUUAUUAGUACUGAUGGCGUUCUUGUCACUUUUUGUAAGGUCUCCGGCGCGGAAAUUCCGCAGGCCAUCCUUUUGUGGCGGCAAUACUUCUUGCUUCACAUGGUUCUCUUUGAUUUCUGUCGGCUCCCGAAUUUUUUUUUAUUAAGAUCAUUUUAUUUCUCUCUCCUUUUCUGCUAUCGGAUACUGAGGGAAGGCGACGAUCUUGCUGGUUCUUUGAUUCCCGGUGUUAACAUUGGUGAAGAAAUUGUCCUGUUGCAUCCCCAAAGGGGGAAAAAAAAAAAUCCUGCAGUAGAGGAGUAAAAAGAGGAGAGGAGAGAGGUGUACAAAAAGACCACAAAGGAGCAAUGAGGAGAGAUCAAAAAAGAUGGAUCAGGAAAUUCUGGGGCGGGGAGGGGCGGUUGUCCCAUUGACAAGAAAUGAAGAGGCAAGAAGCACGGGGAAUAAAACUCCCAGGAUUCUGGGGCAAUUUUUGUUUCCAAACUAUAAGGCGACCGACGCUGUCGCUUAAGGCCUCAUCCCAAAGAAAGGCCUUCGGCUCUUCACUCUCCAGAGCUUGGGAUCGCCAUUCGCCGAAGUCAAAGUCGGAAGGAAGCCUACGAGGCUACGAACUACUCCAACUGCCCAUCAUAGGAUUCAUAGCUGGCUGCUGCCCUGCUAUAGCUGCUUAUGAAGUACGCUUAUGGAGUACGAUCCAAGCAUGGCCAACGGGCAACGAACAAUGGGGCUUUGCUUGCUCCUACGAUCCUUCGUAGCCUGUCUUCUCCAUCUGCCGGCCGUAGUCACCACUCACGAGAAUAGCAGAAUCCCAGAUAACCAGAGAGUCCUCCUUCUAAACACUUCUUCGGUUCUUCCUUCCCUAGUUCCUCCUUAGUCCUUACUCCUUAGUUCUUCGGUUCUUCCGAGUUCCAGUUGAAGAAGAAGUAGGCAGGGAGGCCGAGAUCGGCAGCUACGUCUAGGGCGUGGAUGCAGAAGAAGUCGACAAACAACAAGGGCGCGGGGAGAGGGGGAGAGGGAAAGGAGAAAGCGGCGGAGAUUAAGGUUGGAGAGGCGGAGGAGGUCGAAGGCGAGGGCCUCGAGGUUGGAAAAGGGGUUGGGGGGAAGGGCGACCGAGGGAAGGCGGUGGAAUGCGAGGGUGGGUAGGGCGGUGAUGAAGGGGGCAGUGUCGCCAGUCUUAUAGGGAGGGUCGACGAUGGGGACGGUGACGUUAAGGCCCUACUAAGUUACAAGAUUCUCUUGACUCUGAAUCUAAGCAAUGGGAAUAACGUGAUUUCUCAUGGUUCGGUGCCUUUCAUGUUAGUAAGGAUACUUACGAGUUCCCUUUAUUUCUAUCAUGCUAUAGUACUCCACAUAUUUGAGGGAUACUCAUGAAAACCUGAUCUUGUUGCUUCUUAAUUGCAAAGGGAAUGAAGAAUUUGCUUCUGAGAUGCUAAUAUGUGCUACUAAUAUGAACUGUGUAAAGGAUGUGAAUAUCCAAAUCAUUUUAUUUUCUAUACUACUAAUUAGUUACACUUUUGAGUUCACAAGUCUAUUUCAUAUAUCAGUGGAAGAUACUAAUUAAUUGUAAUCAAAUUGGAAUUAUUAGAAUUUUAUGUAGCUAAUCAACUAGUUUAUUAACAUUUCUAAUUUAUUGCAAGGAUCCAUGGUUUUCAGUUUUACUUAAUCAAUGAUCUUUUUCAUCAAAGCAGGUGAUUAAAUGUGGUUUUGUUGAACCAGAAGUAGACUUAUGUUUGAAACUUUAGAAUAUCUUCCCUGAAACAUUGCAUCUAGUGAUUCCCCUUAAAGGAACUUGAAAUUGUUAUUCAUACCUAACUUGGCUGAAAAUCUUUCCUCCCAUGAAUCUUGGGAGCUCAGAAAAUUGGAUGAUAUGUAGCAGCAGAGGGGAUCUGAUAGAGAUGAGUGGAAUUUGGAUGGGGAUUGAGCUGUAUCUUGCUGGCAUUACAUGUUCGGACAUGUAUUUUAAAUAAAAGCGAACUACUUGUUAUAUAGAACACAAAAGUUUAAAUGAAUUAAAUGGAUUAGCUAUAUUAUCGAUUGAAAAUAGUAUUUUAAUGAAUUUUGAAUACAAAAAGUUUGAUUAAUAAUUUUGCAUCUAAAAAAAAAGUUAGACAAAUUAUUUUUCAAUGAAUUUUUAAAGUAUUAUGCAUUUAUUAAAAAAAUUAAAAAAAGAUCUUUUUUAGUAAAUUCGUUUUAGACCUUCAAAUACAUUGGGCUGCUCCAGCCGUCACCACUAUCUCAUCAUCCACUGCUAUUUUGGGUUCUUCUGCCCCCUUCAUUUCUGCUUCUCCUUGCGUGCAAACACUCCAAGACCAAGAUUUUCCUUUCCAACUCAUAGAUCGAUGGUUUUCACUUCACAAAUUCUAAACCGUCUGAACCCAGUUUCAUUGACAAAUAGACAGGAUUUAUGUAAAAAAAAAAGGAUUCGGAUUCAAGUUGGAUGGUACCCGACCUGACCCUACCCGAUAAACACCCCAGCCCAUAUAUGAGGGAUAACCAAAGCCCCUCAGGCUCUCACAGUUUUAUCUCUUCUUUUUCAAGUCUUCACACAGGUGGAUAAGAUGCCCCGGCGACUCUCUGUAUCUGUCGCUGGCGCCGUGCUGGCUUCUCUUCUAGCUCUCGUCCUCCACGUAACCUUCAACUCCCCCAUCUCCCCUCUCCCUUCCCUCCGCCCCUCCUCACGCAUCACUCCAAACAACCUCCUAAAGGUUCUCUCCCUCCCUCUCUCUCUCNNNNNNNNNNNNNNNNNNNNNNNNNNNNNUCUCUCUCUCUCAAUAAUAAAAAAGAAGCUAUUUCUGCUAUGUCUUGCGUUUCAUAUGAUUCAUCGCGUUAGGUUUUCUUUUGAGGUAUAGACAGUGGACAGGCUGGGAGAAGGAAGGCUCGAGGGUCCAGAAGCCGUGUGCGUGGAUGGCGAGGGUACACUGUACACCGCUACAAGGGACGGUUGGAUCAAGAGGAUGCAGCCCAACGGCUCUUGGGAGGACUGGAAGCAGCCUGGAGGGUCGGCGCUGCUCGGGAUCGCCGUGUCAAUGACCGGAGAUAUCCUCGUCUGCGACGCGGAUAAGGUAAUCAGACAAUUCUGUCCAUCUCGACUUCCUACCCCAUGAGGAUCGGACGGCUGUUAAAUAUCGAUUGGUGGCCUGUACCGAUCGUCCUAAUCAGCUUUUGUUUCUUUUCGCGAUUUACGGUAAAUAUCAUUUUCAUAUUACAUAUCUUUGUACUUAUUAAAUGGACCGGAGAGCGGCUGCUAUCCGAAAUUUGGAAAAAUUAGAAGAAAAUUAUAGAAAAUUUGUCUGAAAUAUUCAUAAAAAGUAGAAAAACCACCUAGAUAUAUUAAAGUUAUCUAAAUAUUUUAGAGGCAUCUAAACAUAUAUAAAUAUAUUAUAUUCCCACACCAAAAUUAUUUUAGGAAAAAUAUUGAACUAUAAAACUUUUCUUUUCACAAAAAAAAUUACGCACGUAGAGAAAAAAAAUACGUAACCAAUCUAACUACACUUAAUUAUUUUAGAAAAGUAUGAAUCUUGAUAUGUUGUAUCCCAGUCGAAAAUUAUUUUAGGAAAUAAAUAUUGAAGUACAUAGAGAAAAAAAUACAAAAAAUUUCUUCCACAUGCUAACUGGGCUCUUCUUGAUUAUUUUAAGAAAAAGAAAAAAUAUUAAGAAGUUGGCUUUCCUCUGCUUGAGCUUAAGAUGAACGUUUUUAACUGAUUGGCUGCAGGGCCUGCUAAGGGUUGGGGAGGAUGGAGUGGCCACUCUUGCUUCGGAAGUGGACGGCUCUCCUAUCAUGUUUGUGUUUGCUUUGCUGUUCUCCUCCAAAGCUUCCAAUAUAUUUUUUUUUUGGGUUAAGGCAGGGCUUAAUUGAAGUUGCAUAAUAUCUAGAAGUUCCAUUUCAAUCUAUAAUUCCAAUUUUUUUCAAGAGAAAAACCUGUCCUCCUUCAUGCAUGAAAGCUUUAGCCUCACCCAAGAGAAAAACUAUAGCCAAAAGAAAAAAGCAUGAAAGCUUUAGGUAACUUAAAAGAAUUAAGAAUAAGACUUAAAUUUUUUAUUUUCUUACUUGAAUAAGACCAUGCGUCGAGAAUUAAUGGAAGCAAAAUAGAAGGGAGUAAAAAUUAUUUAACCAAGUUAUUCCAUCUUUUUUAGUUAAAUAGUUAUUAGUACACAACUUUUUGCCUACCAUUUUUUUUAAACUCUACUUAAUUCAGCAAUAAAUUAUUUUAUUUUAUAAAAUAAAGUACUUUGUUCUCAAAUAAAAAGUAAAAAUAAUGCAUUUUAGCAUUUUGAAUUAAUUUAUUUUGUCGUUACACUUAAUAUAAAAAAUUGCACAUUGGCCGUCCGUAGUUAUCUUUUAUAAUUUUUAUAAAAUUAUUGGUCGGAUUAGAUCCGAUCAGUCCACCUCUAAGCAUGUUCUUUUAUAGUUGGACUUUUCUCUUUUUUUUUUAAUCUAUGUAUAUUUUUUUAUGAUUGGACUAAUCCAUCUGACCUAAUUAAUUAUUUUGUCAUAAUUUUUAAUAUCCACGCGAUAUUUUAUACUUCAGUUUCCAGCCUAUUUUGUUCUAUAUGCUUGCUGUUUGUAUUCCUGAGCUGGCGAGGUUGUGCCAUUAUUCCUUAUAGGACAAAACCGAUCACGUCGGUAGGACGGCUCGUCUCAUCCAACCAUCCUAUUGGCCGAACGAAACGGUGGGAUCAAGGUUGCAUCUCUCGCGCGAGAGAAGGAUUCACCUUCCUACGAGCGAACCCACCGUUGGAUCACCGGACACACAGAUCUCAAAGCUAUCCCACCGUGUCAUUCAUCGGUCUGCACAGCUCUCAAAUCGACCGGUGUGUGAUCCAACGGCGGAUUCGAUCGAAGGAAGGUGAAUCCUUCUUCCGCGCCAAAGAUGCAAAUCCCGACUGGCCAUCUAAAAUCUUAUCAAGCGGCAGGUGGGGCAUCCAAAUUCCAAAAUCUUAUCCAGCGGCAGGUGGGACAGCUCAAUCCUCUAAAAUUAUUUUUAAAUAAAAUAAAAAUAUUUAAUAAAAAAAUUUAAAAAAUAUUUUAAAUUUAUUAAAAAUUAAAAUAGUUUUUUAAGAGAAGCUCCAUUUUGAAAAAAAAAACUUUAGGCUCCAUUGAAAAGCUAUCUUAAAUUAUAAUAUUUUUUUAGACCAAAAUACCCAUAAUAAAUAUAAUAAUUACAGAAAAUAAUAAUAUUAAUAUAUAAUAAUAAUAAUAAUUAUAAUAUUUUAUAUCUUUAUUAUUAUAUUAUACUAUUAAAUAUAAUAUUAUAUUAUAUUAUAUCAUAAUAUAUUGAUAUAUUAUGUUAUAUAAUAUCAAAUUUUAUUUUAUUAUUAUGCUAUAGUAUACAACAUUAUAUUACUAUAUUAUAAUAAUAUUAUAUUACAUUACAGUAAUAUUAUACUAUAUUAUAUAUUUAUGUAUUAAUACAUAUUAUAUUUUAUUAUGCUCUAUUAUGUAAUACUAUGCAAUGUUUUUUAUGGUUCUUUUGUUAUGUAUUAAGACUCACAGCACUUUAUAAAUAUAGUUACUAAACAACAAAUUGCUUUUUAUACUACCAAGCAUAUUAUUCAAUAUUUUUUGAUGCUAGCAUAAUUUUGAUUUAAUACGUAGCCGAUUAAAUGAAUUCAUAAAAUAAAAUUUAGAAGAAAAGUGCUUUGGAUGGCAGCUCCAGUUUCUUCUUCUAAUGUAACAAGCAUGGUAACACGGGAACAGCCAAGCAUUCACAUGCAUUGCACUAAUCCUUAGGAGCCACAUAAAAAAGAAUAAAGUGAUUAGCCAGGCUGCAGCCAGGUUUGAAUAAAAAAAUUCAGGUCACAAAAUUGGGAUGCUAGUAUUUUGAAUGCACGAACACUUUGCAUGCCAACAAUGUAGUUGAAGUAACAGAUUAGUAUUUAAAGCAAUUUGGUGAAACCAAGAACCUUUUUUUUUAAUGUAUAUCAAUUAACCCCUGAACUUUGGAGACUGUGUUUGGAUUUAAGGUCCUGCCAAUAAAUUUCCUUGUAAAUUUCGUUCUAUUGGUGCCACAUGUUAUGGAAGGGAAAACAACUUAUGCGAAGAAUUUUUGUGUCCUUUGUGAUUUGUAGCUUUGCGGAUGAUGUUGUUGAAGCUUCGGAUGGGAGCGUGUACUUCAGCGAUGCAAGUACCAAAUUCGGAUUCCAUGAUUGGUUUCUCGAUCUCCUCGAAGCUAGGCCUCAUGGCCGGCUCCUCCGGUACGACCCUUUUACCAAGAAAACUUAUGUGGUGCUCGCCAACCUAACCUUCGCCAAUGGCGUUACCCUGUCGCAAGACCAAGACUUCCUGGUGGUUUGUGAGACAUGGAGGUAAGCUAAUUUUGAGCUUAUUGUUUCGAUAUAUUUGCUUCAAUCUUUUAUAGGAUUGUCUAGCCUUGUGGACUUGUCUCAUUUGGGUUGGAAUCAAAGGAGAAGGUCUAAUAUCCAAAAAUUUGGAUACACCCAAAAUAAAAACCCAACCCGGACAUAUACAACUGGCUUGUCCGUUGAAAUCCCUAAUGGAUUUUGAAAUAGGAGGAGAGGAAUUGAUUUUUCCCAUGAAAAUUAGCAUUCAGAAGCAUUAUUUUUAAUUUAGUAUAAGCAAAGAAGUAGUGUCUUUUCUGUAUGAGUCUGUCCUCUAUAGGAUUAUUUUUUUAUAGUAUUUUUUUCUUCCAUCUAGUGCUGCAAAUGGUCAGGUCAUAAGUGACUCUGACCUAAUCCGAUUUUUUGUUUGGAUUCUAAUUUUAGACCCAAACUCAACUCAAUAGAAAAUCGAGUCCAAGUCAUGUCCAACAAAACCUGAUAAGUAAUGAAAUAAGUCGAAUCCAAGUCCUAAAUCUUAAUGCUAGAUUUAGCCAAGUUGUACCAAAAGGGAGAGGAACCGCUUCGGAGGCAACCAGACUUGACUCAACAUUUCUCCGAAGUAUGGAUGGACCCAUCUGAUUCGAAUUUGACCUGAACUUAAAUGAAUCUAGACCAAACCUGUUUUCAACCAACUGAAUAGGUUGAAUUUGGGUUCAAAAGAUGAAGCCAAACGAUUUCUCAGAUGUAUAUUAAACCCAAAUCUCAUUGUUUACAUUGGAUCCAACUUUGCGUUCAAAUUAUUUCUCAAAUAUAUUUUUAUCCAUUUGACUCGCAAGAAAGUAAAACUACAUCAUGUGAUAACGAAACGCCAGACGUGUGACAAAAUGCUUCUCUCUAAAAUGACUCAAGAAAGUAAAAGCAGCACUAAAAAACAUACCCUGAAAAAAACUCACCCGUUCCUCCCAUUUCCUUCCUCUGCUUUGCAACUCUCUUCGACACAGGAAAUAUCCCAUAUGAAAGAGUAAUCAGGCAAUCCAAACGAGCACCAUGUCUCAACAAUCCUAUCUGUAAUAAAAUACAGCCUCUGACGAUCUAUGAUGUUUUUCCAUUGAAAUACCGGUUGAUUAGAUUAGAUUUGAUUCAGAUGUCUAGAAUUUUGUCAGAAGCAAGCUAUACUCGGUCAUUUUAUUGAAAUUAACUAUAUUUUGUGAGCUAGAUUCCGGUGUUUGAAGCACUGGCUGAAGGGAGAGCAGGAAGGGAAAACAGAGGUUUUCAUUGACAACCUCCCAGGAGGACCAGAUAACAUUAAUCUUGCACCAGAUGGAUCCUUUUGGAUUGCCCUUCUACAGGUCUGGAGAGCAUUACUUCUUUUCUAACCUACAUAAGCCUCGAUUUCAGCAGUCCCAUAAGGUGGCUGCAUUCGCCAGAAUUAAGAUUUUGGUUUGUUCAUUUCAGCUUAGAUCGAGGUGGAUUGAUUGGAUUCAUUGCUCCUGCAUGACCAAACGGGUGCUUGCAACAUUCCCAAAACUAGUUGAGAUUAUCAACCCUAUGAAGAGUGGGGCAAUGGUUGUGAAUGUAGCUUCCAAUGGCAAGAUCACACGAAUGCUUGAUGAUUCCGACGGUACGGUGAUGUCCUUCGUCACCUCGGCAAUGGAAUUCGAUGGUCAUCUCUACUUGGGCAGCCUGCAAACCAACUUCAUAGGAAAGCUGUCUCUGAAAUGAGUGAGCUUAUAGUUUGAAGUUAGAUGAGUAGAUAUUUUGAUUUCUUCUUACCAUAUCAACCUCCUGAAUCAGUAAAAGAGGCAUACACGCCAAAAAUUUAUAUAGGAUAGCUAUCAUAUGUAAUAUUCCUCUUCGUGGCCUUGAACAACAAAUCCUUUUUAAAUCUUUGCUGCAUGAUCUUGCCCUGAUGGGUGCAACAACACUUCUCUGGCUUAUCUCUAAUGCUCGGGUCCUUUUCAUUACCUAAUGACAUUUAGUUAUCCUUGCAGUCUCACUGCCAUGCAUCAACAAUUACUUUCGGAACCUCAGAUGCACAACUCUAGUUCAUCUGCUUCUGUCCAUGUUAUAUAUUUCGCAAUUAACUCUUGCACAGGUAUAUCUAAGAUAAUCAAAUGAAACUGAAAUAGCCAACCUUAAGAAGAAUAAGUCUUUCUAAAUUCACAGAAGGAUCCUAUCCACAAAAUCAACCUUCAAUGGUCACCUUACAAGCUAGGUAAAUUGAUUCAACUUCCACUGGGCAUAGUUCAGUCCUGGAAGCUUAAAUGAACUACUGUUGCAACUCACAACUUCACUGGAGUAUUUCAUGAUUCCAUGCAGUACUUCACCAAACCAGGGAAAUGAGAAUUGAGAAUGGAUGAUGCAUCAUAGCUUUCAGGAACAUCGCGAUGUGCCAGAAAAUGUAUUUUGGCUUAGUAACCCAUGUCUGCAGGAAGACGUGAAAUGACGGCAUCAGUUUUAUUUUUAUGUGGAGUUAAAGCCAUACCAAAAUAGUCAAACAUAAUUCCUUGAUUUGAAUCUAAUAUGGGCAGCUCGCAGGCAUGCAAUUCAAGUUUACACUAAAAUAAUAAAGAAAUGGAUUAAGUGAACCGUUGUAAUCCCCAUCCAAUAAUCUCAAACAUAGAUGUGACCAAAGGCUAAAGAAUCAAGUCCUCUGGGUCUACAGAAAGCAGAUUGAGCAGCAAACUUGAAAUUUGCCACUCUCAAUCACGUUCACUGAUCGCUGUCAGGUGCUCAUCAAUCUCCUCUGUUGAUAGUACUCUAAAAACGGAAUCUUCUGUCCUCACAACUCCAACCUAGAAAAUCACCAUAUCAUGAUUAGGAUGUCUUACAAGCACAUUGAAUAUAUGGGUAGUCAAAUAUAGAGAUUACAUUCUAUAGAUACCAUGGCCAAAUAUAAAUGCUUAGCAAGGAACAAUUUAAAGGAUAGCAGGGGAAAAAGGUAGAUUCUUGCACGGGUUAACCACACUGGGAAUGGUAUGGAAACUUUAGGGCUGUAAACAUUCAAUUUAGUCAGGUUGGAUAAAGGAUUUGCAUGUCUCAGAUCCACCCCAUCCAUAUUUGGGUCCCAAAUCUGAAUCCAUCCCAGCCAAUGUACAAAUUGGAUUUGGUCAGAUCAGGUUGACGAUUUUAGCUUUCAACUCCAAUAGGAAUAUCGGGUCAAGUACAGUUCUAAAUCAAAACUGCACCAUACAUCUUUUUUUCUUUUUGGACGAAUUACAAGGUGAAGCAUUAACUUUUAAAAAAAAAACGACUUGGAACACUCUGGUUUUGAGAGAACGGUUGGGUAUUAGAAGAGUCUGAUUAUAAACAAACAACUUAUAAGGUACAAGGCAAGACAUCAAGUAGGGGCAGCAAUCUGUCCAGCCUGACUAAUCAAUGGUCCAACCCAGAAAAAAUUGUCCGGACAAGAGAUACCUCGUCCAAAAACCAGGUCCGGGCAAAAAAUCUUUGUUCAAUUUAAUAUUAGGUCCAGAUCCAGGUCCAGGUUCUAGGUUUUUCCUCCCCAUAAUUGCAAAAGACCAUGAUCCUCUCCUCUCCCUCUCAUUUCUAGUAGCCACUCAACCCAUCGCACCACCUUCCCUUGAUAAGCAGCGACCUACCCCUGCCUCAAAUCUGACAACUGAUCCUCUCUACUCCGAUGACUGAUUCUUGCCUACCUUGAUUACCCGCAAUUCUUGACUGAUUCUAUCCAUCUAUCUAUCUAUAUAUCUCACUGGCCCAUCAAUGAAUAACAUUCCCCUUGAUGACCAACCACCACCAUGUGCUCUCUCUCUCUCUCUCUCUCUCUCCAACCCUAACCUGAAUCCCACUGGCCCACCGCCUCCUCUAACCCUCCACUCUAGUACUCUCUCAAAUGACCGGUCACUUGCCCAUUUCUUUCUCUAACCCUAACCUUAUGAGCACAUUGCCCCUUCCACUACAACUUUGGUGUUCGCUGAAAACCCAACAAUGCACAGCACCCUCUCCAGCCAAUCACUACUCACAUUGGUCAAGAUGGGCCAGGUCCAGAUUGACCAAAUUGAAGUGUGUUCAGUUUCAAAUAUUCUGCCGUCCAAAUUCUCAAUCUGGGUCAAGUGCAGGUUAGAUAAAUGGCUAUACCCAUAGGAUGUUGUUCAACCAAGAACUGACAGAGAGAAAUUCUUUUGCCACUCCUAUUGUAGAGUCAUAGCAAAUAGUACAAAAAAAUUUAAGAUCCCAAAGACUGCCAAUCCACGGCCCAAGAAGUUCAAUCUCCCAAAAAAGGAUUUACUUAGCUGUACAAUUGGACAGCUGUAAUGCUCAUAAAUUAAUAUAAGUCUGCAAUACGGAUGUUCGAGCAUGUUAUCCAUGAAAUAUCUCCUUAUGGACAAAAUGGCAAAAGAAGGAUUAAAGGAUGGGGCAGAUGCCACAACCCUGCAAUGUAGAGAAUUUCAGAAUACCAAAAUCACCCUUUUAGUUGGAGUGUGGUAUCUUGAUAAUAUACACAUUUGCAAGUUCUUAACAAUUCUCACGUGCAAGAGAUAUGCUGUGGAUGAGAUGGUUGAGCAUGCAACCAUACCAUUCAAGUUAAUUAUUUUUGAAUGUCAAAUAUGACCAACCUGGACUUAACCAUUAUCCAUACAACCUCUCUUCAUGAAAGAAUUUGGCAUAUAUGACAAAGUAUUAAGUUUCUUGCUGCUGAAUUUGCUAUUUCUUAUUUUGGAAAAAAAUGUUAUUGGUUUUUUAUAUAACUGGGUUGGGUUAGAUUGGACCACAACAUGGAUGUUCCAAACAGUUCAGAGCCAACCCAACGCAAAAUGUUCAUACAGGUUGGAUUGGGAUACAUGUUGAAUCUCAGGUAGACCCGACCUGUUUGCAACCCUAGUCAGGUUCGAUUGUGCCUGGACAUUCUCAAACCUUAUGCAUGAUAAAAUUUUGGUGUAACAUGAUCCUUUAAGAAACAUUACCUCAAUCUCAGUGGCCUUGAAAUCCUCCUGUAUAACUGAUUGCAGAGCAGAUAUUGCAGUCUACAAUAACCAAAAGGCAAGAAAACAUGAUAUCAGGCAAAACUACAAUUAUCAAUUCAAAUAUACAGAGAUAGGUGUUUUAGAGUAAAAAUUCUUUGCAUUAAUUAAUAAUAUAUGAUCAUACAAAAGAAUAAUAUGCAAUUAAAAAAAUAAAAACUCUAUACAAUGAUGUAGUAAGUUAAGGGAGAAACUAUAGCUAUGUGAACCAUCUCCUAAGAAAAGAGAUGAUUUUACUGCAUAAUUCAUCUUCACAAGGAAAAUCCACAAAAUCAUAACAGCUAAAAAAUUGCAUUUGUCCAUCUGCUGAUGGAACAAAGUCAAGAGUAGUUCCACAAAGACAUGGGAGUGAACACAUGGUUUAUUACUUCUAGGAUUCAAGCAAAGGUGGAAGGCUCCACAAAAUCAGAAAACGAAAUGUCACUGGGAAAGCCAUAUUUGUCCCUCAGCAGGAAAUUUUUGUCUAACCUGAUAGUUAAUCCGAAUCUAGAUCUACCACACGCAUCAAAUGUUUAACACAUGUCAAUACUCACUUUGAAAAGUUAUUUACCUGCACAGUUUCCUCAUACAAGAAUUUAGGAUCAUUCUUCAUUUUCUUCUCCAAGAAGUUGAUUGCUUCUUGCUCUUUCACGCCAGCACUUGUCGCCUGGGAACAAUAUUUUAGGAAAGUGUGACAGUUGUAAUAAAAACUGCAGCUCAAAUCUAUAAGAAAAGAUUUACAGAAAACUAAGAGGGCAUGAAUCAAGCACCUGCCUUCACAAUAAAAAUAGAUGGCCUAAAAACAAACAUAAGCAGACAGCAUUCUACAAAAGUACUUGUUAAAUGCUUGCACGAAGGAUCAUGGAAAGCCAGUUAGCAACAUAGCAUAUUAAUUGAAUAGAUCAAUUUACAAAUGAAGAAGAAAUGGUCAGCAUUUCCACUGAGAAAAUAAAUGAUAUCUAAAGAAGACAGAACUUAUCAGAAACCAGAUGAAGCAUGAAUUUUACUAAUAACCCAAAACUAGUGUAAUAACAUUUAAGAUGCAGCAAUCAAAUAAUAGCUGGUGAUAAGAGUACUGAUAUUUUCAGUUCUGGCACAGCUGCUCUAUACUUGCUCUAUGGCUAGAGCUCAUUGGGCCUGACAGGCCUACUUACUGCACCGGACACACAAAAAUCAUCAGCAGGCCCUUAAAUCUCCCACAAAGCAAUUAUCAUUAAGCAAAUGCUAUUGUCUGUCAACUGCUACCCCUGAUGAUAGCGUAUCAAGUUUUGUCUUCAUCUUCACAUGCUUAUGACUAUACUACCAGAGUAUAAGAUUGGAAGAAUGUCUAAAACCAUUGUCAACAUGCAUCUAAAAAAUUCAUUAGAAAGAACACUCAAUUGCGCCUGAAAACUAGGUAACGAGCUGCACAUUUGUACAUGUUUUAAUAAAUAUUCUAUACCAAUCAGCUAACUUAGUUUAGUUAUCAGAAAGUUCGAGAAGGGGCCAUAAACUCUCAAAAUUUUCUGUACUAUGCAUAUACCAGAAGAUGACAUGAUCAGGGCACAACUAAAAGGGUGGUGCGGUUCACAAGGCCCCUGCUAUUGCAGGGUCUAGGGAGGGUUGGCUAUACAUAGCUUUAUCCUUAUGUGCAGAAAGGCUGUUUCCAUAUUUCAAACCCAUGAUUUUCAGGUCACAAUGGAGCAACCUUAGAAUCGCACUAAAAAUCGCCCUCAUGAUCAAGGCAUAACUAUGACAUACAAUCAGAUAAAAGUUUCAAAAGAUAGAGCUCAAUAUCUGCCUCUGAUACAAGUCAGCUAAUGAUGGAACAACAUAAAUAAUAACCAAAGCUGCAACUCAUAUUCAUGACCAUUAGCCGAUAAGCCUAAUCAAUGAUGACAGGUUGCAACUUCGGAAUAACACUCCAUCCAUUCAUUCAUUCCAAUCCCAACCAUGUCCCCUAUUCCAAUAAGCAUUUUACAGUCUUUUAAUAUAAAAAGUGUUAAAGUCAUCCCCUAAAAAACUUAUUUGGCAUGAAGACAUAAAGGCAAAGAUGCAGCUCACAAAACUUAUAUACCUUGUGUCCAAAGAAAUGUCCAGCUGGGUCGCAUUUGAAGAGUUGAGGUCCUUUCUCUUCAUCAAUACCCAAGAUCAUAGCAACUUCAUAAUCCAAAGAAAAGUGGUAAGCAGAAAAAGAGGGGAAAAGGAGAAGAAGAAUGUAAACAGCAAGAAAGUACAGUAAUCUAAAUAAAGUACAGAAAUGUACAGAUCAUACAGGCAUGAAUGCAUUGUACAGAAAUGAUAUAGUAAACAUCAUAGCUCAGAUGUACAGAUCAUGUUUCAUUGAAUGCAUUGAACCUUUACGGUGUCAGAAAUGAUAUUUCAGAAACUGACCUACUCCGAGAGGUCUCAUAUAGGCAUGCUGGGUAUAUACUUGAGAUUUGUCGGCUAUCCUGUACAUAUAUUGCAGAAUAUAAGAUACAAGGUUAUUGAUAAUUGUCUUAAGAAAAACGAAAAAGCAUGUAAAAUUCCACAGAGAGAGAGAGAGGGCGGGAUCAUUUUUAACAUUGUUUCAUUCUUAAUAGCUAAAUACUCUGAGUAGAAACUGACAUGACAUAAAAUCCAACAUCUGGAAGUUUGCAAACUGUGCAAAAACAUAGCUCAAGCUUCAUUCGUCAGCGGCUUACUCAGAUUCUAUAGGUUUAACAUAGGUACAAAGAUACAAAUCAAAGUUAUUAUUUUUAAGGAAACCUGCAUGGGGUAAAGAUCUCAUUUGGUGGCAUAUUUUCAAUCCAAAAUCAGAAAUGAUAACCAAAUUUGUACAUUUUGGUACCAGAUUAUUACUCAUGACAUCUUUUACAAAGAAAAGGAUGAAGUAGGAAUUCGUAUGAAAUAUUAUCUCAAAGAAAAGGGACUCGUCGAUGCUCAUAGUGACCUCGAGAAAGAUAAAUGGAAGGCUGACUACUUCUUUAGCAAGUCGGGCAUGGAAAAAUUUGUGCUUCCUAUGACAAACUGCUCCUUUAUAUAUGCAAAUUAAGAAUUUUCCUUCACAAAGCACAAUCCAAGAGCCUCCACAUGAAGGAAUCAAUAUUACAAUGCUUAUAUACAAACAAAACUUCCUGCAUUUUAACAGCAAUUGACGUAACUGAAAAUCAUUGAAUGAUGCUGAAGAUGCAUAACUUGAGUCAAAAUAACAGCAAGUGAUACACACAACUAUAUUAAAGAUCACAUCAUCAUUCACUCCACACCACCCCCAAGGAAGAAAAUUCAAUAGAGAAGGAGGGCCUGACAACUUACUUUAACUGACUCAUGGAAUAUUAGCUUUGUCAUAAGUCACUUUAAUAAUCUCUCUGAACGCUAUCUAGGUGCUAAGGAUUGAUUAUCUCCAGCCCAUAUUUCUUAACCCCUCAAGAUUUUGUGAAGAAAAAUAGAUCACUUGACACACCCGAAUCUCCAUUUUUUCCAUAGCUUUUCCUAAAAGCAUCACAAACUCAAGACCUUAGCAAACAUUUUCAUAUAUCAACAUUUAUGUGAACUGACUCCAGAUUGUUCUGUAUAAGUACAUCAAGAUUCUUAUAUAGACAUAUUUCAACAGAAAUUGAUUCGUAGCCUUUGCUGUUACAUAUGCUGAUGCUAACAUUUAAGAACUCAAUAAGGCUUAUGGAAUAUAUGUGUUUCAAAGAUUGACAGAUAAAAUUCAUUGCAAAUGUCGAAAACAAUAUAACGGCACCAUUUUCUCGGUAAGGCUUAUUGAUUCGCAGUCUGUUACAUAUGUCGAUACUAACAUUUAAGAACUCAGUAAGGCUUAUGGAAUAUAUGUGUUUCAAAGAUUGGCAGAUAAUAUUCAUUGCAGAUGUUAAAAAGCAUAUAACUGCACCAUUUUCACAAGAAAGGUGUUCCUAGAUAAAAACAUGCAUAAGUAGCAUAAAAUGUUGCUGUCCAAGCAUGCACAACAAAUAGAAAAAAUUCUUACACACCCAAUAUAUGACUUUGCAAAAAGUCACUGGAAACUAGAAUGCAUUGUUAGGUUCAAUCCUAAUGGAAUUACAUAUGAACAGUAUUCCCACAGAAUAUAGUGCACAUCAGUCACUUUUAUAAAAGUUGAAUUUAUAUUGCUAAAAGAAGCUAAAAGAAAAAGGUCGUGUUAUUCCAAAUUGAUUGACAGUUGCAAUCAGAAAUAUAAUGCUAUUAUGUACCAAAUGCAUACCACUUGGCUAAUACAUCCACAGGCAUCUCAUAUCCCCAUUUGAAACGAAACUCAGCUGCCUCAUUCCUGGCUUGAUGGACUAAGGACCUUGCAUCAGCUAGAAUAUCAAAGAAUUCAUAUGUUAGCAGUGCUAAUUAGAAACUGAUAUCUAUAGAGCCACUGAGAAUGUGUGAAUAUUCUUAACAAAAAUCACCAUGGCAUAAGUUUCCAUCAGCUGCCACACAAACUGGAAUGAACAGAAAGAUGUAAACAGCCCAUGUCAAAGAUCACAAAGAGUUGGUUUGACAAUUAAUAGACAUCACAACAUGGAUCUAUUUUUUUAGCGUCGGAAGGUAGGAACCCAUCUUGCUAAGAUAAUAAAUAUCAUGUCCUUAAUAUAUCUAUAUCAUCCCAUCCCAUAAUUUUCUAAAGUGGCUUAAAAGUUGAAUACCACAAAAGUGAGUCCAAUCUCGUAAUACCACCUUUAUUUACAUAGAUGAAUUGGUGCGAGAAAUUCUCCUACAAUUGUUUAGCAUUUUCUCAAUUUCAAUAUCUAAUCAAAUAAGCUCGUUCAAUAAAACCCAGCUGCUUUUUUUUUGAAGAACAGGAACUAGUAUUUCAUUAAAUCCAAAUGUAUUUGCCCUUUUGCAUUCUUUUAGACUUACAUCAGAAUCAUACUCAUUUACUAAGUCAUGGAAGCAAUUAAGCAUCUAACCACCUUCCUUUAAGUUUUUACUUCUCUAUAUAACACUCCACUUCCUCUUACUUCCCUUUUUCUAUGCAGUUAUAUUUUGGGCAUUAUAAUUGUGGUCUGUACAUUCUAUCUUACUUUAAAAGAUGAUGGUGAGAUGAUGGUGUAUCAAGAAGCUGGUUCGUCACUGGCUAUGUUGCUAAGCUACCAUCUACACACCGAGGUGCAAACUUUUCAUUGAUGACAAUGUCAAGGAAAAGAAAUGAUACUAGGGGUACAAAAAACUCGGUGCAAUGAAACAUUUUAACAAAAAAUGAUAGGACAAAAACAAUGCAGAGGUGCAAUUAUUAGUUCAAAUCUAUGGUUUGCUAGUAUGGUAGUUUAAUGUUUUUCUAAUCAGUAUUUACAAGUAACUCAGAAUACCAACAAACACAAACACCCGCAUAUCAUAUAAAUCAACACCAUAAUUCGCUACCUGUCAUCCCAGUUGCUAACAGUCCGAGGUACUUUGUGAUGGGAAAGAGGUGCGUCACGCUCGUCUGAUCCAAUAGCUUGUCCUGCAUACGGUUUUCCAUGACCAAUCCCAGAUUAAACAAAAUCAUAGCAACGAAGAUUAUGAGAAUCGCAUUAUGAGAAUCAGGCAAAGAAAUUGCGCACCGGGACCUUCUUCUGAGUGACGACGCACACGGAGUCUUUCCCUCGGACUCCAAUCGACGUGAUCCCGGAGGCCUUCACGGCUUUAAACGCAUAUUCUGUUUCAAUCACGGGAAACACAUACGUGAAGUUCAAAAACCUAAUCUCAUUUUCCCAUGGAAACAAUAACUGAAAUCAAAACCUAGAAUCUCCCACUACCACGAUCCAGCUGUAACCCAUAGGGAUCUGAAUGAGAUGUGAUCGGACAUGGAGAGAAAUCGAAAACCCUGGGGCUUACCCACUUGGUAGAGCCGGCCCUCGGGGGAGAAGAUGGUGAUGUGCCGAUCAUAGCCAGCUCCGGUUCCGCGACUCAUGGCGCUUGGUUAGUUUCUUCGAUCGAAAGCUUAGGUUUUCCCCCCCGAGAAUGGGAUUGGAGGAUUUAUCUUCGUGGAGAGAACUGGGGUGGGCUGAAACGAGCAAGCUUGCGCUGCCAGAAACGCCGUCUCCGCCUCCAGGGAAUGGCAGCGUAGAAAAGGGUGAUAUUUUUAUAUAUAAACACCUCUAUCAAAUUAUAUUACGCAUAGGCUCUAAAAAACGAGGUGUAGACUGUCAAAAAGAGAACGCAACUCGUGCCUCUUUCUCGGAGCAUGAUCAAUGUGUAUCAUUUUCUUAAGGUACUAACUUCCCAACAUAUAAAGAUGGUUCACAACAAAUUUAGAAUCUGAAUUAAAAUAGAUAGAAAUAAAAAUCAGAAUAGCUAUAUUUUCCACCAUAUUUUUUCGUAACUAAAAUCAAAAUUAAAAUUAAAAAUUAAUUUUUUAAAUAAACCUAGCAGAAUGGUAUGUGAAUGCCGGAAGAAAAUUUAAGAUUAGAUUUUGAUGGAUUGAAGCAUUCUCGUUCCCCUCUAGAAGAAAAAUAGAAAAGAAAAAACUCUGUUCAACUAAACUAUAAAAGGGGGAGCUACACAUUUUCAUUUCAAAGCCCAACUUUCUAAACUAAAUAUAUCCUAAAUAUUAAUCAAUUUUAUUUAUUUAUUUAUUUAUUUAUAUAGAUUAAUUGGGGGAUGAGGUUCUUCCGUCUCUGAAACAUUAAAGUAUACCUGAUUUGCACAUAAAAACUACAAUAAAUGUACCCAAAUGCCAAGGGCUUCAUAAGGUUGCUAAAUAGAAAGCUGACACUCAUAUUAUUAUAGAUUCCUCCUAUUUUUUGAUGGUACAAUUUAGGGCAUCAAAAAAGUUGCACGAUGCUAGCAUUACCAUCAUAUAUUUAAAAAUAUAGACAUUGUUGUCGAAAUUUUAACUCUAAACAUCAUCAAAUACCUAACAGAUAUUUUAACCAGAAGUCUCAAAUUUACCAUAGUUCAAGUCAUAGAAAAACAUCUAAUGGAAGUUAGCAUGUCAUUAGACUGAAUUGGGCAGCAGAUAUCCUGUUGUUAGCAAGCGCGAUAGAAGAGAGGAGAGAGGGGGCUGGAUUGGAUUGAGUCAGGCUCUAAGGCAUUUGGGUCGAACAUCGAGUUGGAUUGAGUUGGGCUCUAAGGCAUUUGAGUCGACCCGAUCGAGUUGAAUUUGUUUUUAUUUGUGCUCUAUAAUUUGUGCCCAAGCUCGGACCUAAAACUAAACCUCUUUGGGUUAGACCAAAAACGGAAUAUCAAGUCAGUCGAGCUCACCUUAGGUUUGCUUGUGUCCAUUUCCAACCACUUCUUAUCCCAAAUGGUACAUCUGUUCCAAAUUUGAUUUCACUUAUUUAAUUUCGAACAUGGUUGACGUUCCAUGGUAUUAUAAUCAAACCAAUCGUAGCUCCACCUGCUUGGUCCCACCAGAUGCCGUCGGCUGUGAACGAUUUCGAAGUCAACCAUUCCAUCCACCGGUCAAAUUGCACGACAACAAUGGCACGCGCGUUCCCUCUCUUUCUUUCCUCUUUUCUUUUUUUUUUUUUCUUUUUUUUCUCCUGAAAACGGGAUACAAUACAUCCAAUAAAAUUAAAAAAUACCGCAUUCUCUUACACCCAUCCUCCUCUCAACCAUGCCAAUAGGGGCAAAUAUGUCACAUAGGUCACCCGAAGUGUCUCCAGAUUCACGUCGACAUCCAAGAGAGAUCUUAAAUGAAACAAACGAAUGCAUAUUUUUUACAUGCAGUCAUCAGCCAACUGGCUGUUGGAGUGAACUCGGCAUAAUAUAAAAUCGCACUCAUUCGUAUUUAGUUUUUUUCUAUGCAUUAAAUUUUAUAAAACAAUGAGAACAUAAUAGCAGUCCUUUGGGCUUGCAAGUCAUCAGCCAAUGAGCUGUUGGCUUGAACUUGGCUACGACCAUCUCUUCGAAACAUCUAGAUAAUGCUAAAAAAAUAGAGAAAUUUUUUAGACCAAGCAUAUAUUUAAAAAAACUACCAGAACUACGGAUUGGAUGGCAGCCUAUAUGGUCAGUCAUGCCGGUAGUACCUUAUGAACUGAAAUGAAAAGUUGCUUCAGAUGCUCUGCGAUAUUUUAUUUUCUAAUUUUGUUAGUUACAUUCAUACACGUAAUGCAUGAAUUAUCUGCUUUAGCAACCAAAUAAUAAUAAUAAUAAUAAUAUACAUAUUACCGUUUUGAUCGGUAAAUAUACCUCUUCCAACAUGCUCUACUCCUUUCGCACGCAUUAUUCGGUAAAAUUCGUCCCUAAUUUCUGGGCAACAUAUAAAUUAUAUAAUUUGGAAUAAAAUAAUAGCGGUAAGUUCACCAUCGCAUUUACCUUCCUCGUCGGUGCAGUUGUUUUCUCUGAUUUAGUCUAUUUAGAAAUAUAAUAAUCAAACAUCAAAUAAUAUUUUAUUAAAAUUUAAUUAAUAAAAAUUAUUCUGCUAAAGCUCUACGGAUAAAAAUUCUGCCACCUAAUAUCAAAUGGAAAAUAGAUUUUUUUUUCUUUAAUUUUUGGAAGAGCGAAAAUUUUAUUUUUAAAAAUUUUACCCUUGAAGAAGAAACGGAAUCAGCCGAAAUUAAUUAACCACAAUUUUGUUUAAUUCGGUAUUUAUAGCUUCUCGCUCCCUUCCUCGCUUCUCCGGCGACCUCUCCUCCCCUCCGCUUGCGAUCGCAGGAUCCCGAUAGGACGGCCAGACGAUGGCCGACGGAGUUCGCUAGUGCCGUCGAGGACGUCCUCAAGCUGGCAAAGCGGAUAUACGCCGGGAUGGACUGGCACUUCGCGCCGCCCCGGCCAGUUGGCGGGAUGGAGCGAUCGCCGUCGUCCCUCCUACAAAUGGCGCCGAUGGUGGACGCCGCCGUCGACGACCAGGGAUCGUCGACAUACGGCUACCAGCACCACGUGUACGGCCGCCGCGACCCGCCGGCGCUGAUCCCGCUCCGUGGAGGCGGACUGCUUCUUGGACGCGGCCUUCGUUGUCAUCCGCGGUCGGUGGCGCGCCCACUGCGUCAUGCGGAGACGGAGCUGCGACUGCCGCCUCGUCGUCCCCGUGGGUGAGCAGGCGCGGACUUCUCUUGUGGAAAUGUGCUUCUUUUCUUGAUUUUUUUUCUUCUUAUAAUUUCUUGCUAAUUUCUGUUGAUCUAAAUGUUUCCUUAGAAAAGUUGGAAUCUUGAGGAGUUUUUAUGUUGAAAGAUGCCAACUUGGAGGUGUGUUAUCUGUUUUCAGUGAUUAAAUAAUUUAGAUCUUUGUAUUUUGUCAAUUGUGUUAAACGUGAUGAAGACCGGUCAUAAUUUUGUUAGUUCUUUUUAUUAUCUGCUAAUCUUGAGAUUUUGUUCAAAUGCAAGAACCUUGAUUAGUUCUCAUAUUAAAAAUUUCUAUGUGGAGGUGCAUUAUCUGAUUUUUAGUGAUUAAUUAAAUUAUAUAUUUCAAUUUUGUCAAUUGUGCUAGAAGAUUGAUAAUUAUAUUGUCAAUUCUUGCUAAUGUCUGCUAGUCUUGAGAUUUUCUUGAAAUAUAAGAAUCUCAAUUAGUUUUUAUGUCAAGAGAUGUAUAUUUUGGAGGUAUAUUAUCUUAAUUUUUGUUAUCUUUGAAUUUUGUUAGUUCCAUCUACUUUCCUUCAUCCAAAAAAAAAGAAGGUAGCUCCAGGCUAGAACUUUAAAGUUAACCAUAGCUUGAGCAUUAUGAGGAUUCGUAAUGUUGUGCUUCUUACAAUUCCAUGUGGAAUUUGGAUGGUGUACACUGAAGACUUCUAAUCUUGUUGGGAAAUUAAGGAAUUACCUAUUUGACCUGUUUGUUAAUGUAAUAACUAAAUGAUGGAUUUAUUAAACAUCUGCAAUAUUGAUACCGUCAUAUGCAUUGAUAUUCCCUUUUUGUUUAAAUUGUAAUCUUUCUUUUACUUUUUUGUAUUAAUGUUUGAUUGUUGAUCUUUCAAUAGUGAUUGGCUGUUCUCUAGCUAAGUAUGGUUUUGGCUAAUAGGGUUCUGUUCUAGGUGUCGAGUUUGAAGUAGAUAGAAAAUUGUACUCCACUCACAUGAUCGAUGGAGAAGAAAAUCAGAACAUGGAAAAGCCUGCAAGAAAUGGAGGCGGCUUUCUGAAACCGCAGCUGUUUUCCUUGAUGAGCUCCGAGGUGACUUAGGGUAAUGCAUCUUGGUCUCUCUCUGAUCAUCUACCUUCUAAUCGUUUAAUCAUAGGCAUGUGCCAAGAACAACUUCUUUUUAACCUCCUUUUUGAAGGUUAGUGGAGGAUCUGACAUCUGUCUUGCAGUCAGAUGGUCUCAGAAGUUACUGUAUAAAGAUGGCCAGUUCUCUAUUACCAUACCUUUUAAUUUUCCAGAAUAUGUAACUCCAUUUGCAAAAACAUUUUCAAAAGGGGAAAAAAUUCAGUUGAAUGUUAAUAAUGGUUCUGGAAAGGAAGUUUUGUUGCAGACUACGAGCCAUGCUUUGAAGGUGAACAUAUCUGUACUAUAUUUGUAAAUACCUACCCUGAAGUCUGAUUUAGCUGCAAGUCAAAGCUAAACCAUUUUACUGACUGGCACUGCUUCUUGUCAUUUCGGGAAAGAAGUCACCAAGCUGGAAAAUUUACUUUCUUGUACGAAGCAGUUCUUGCGCAUUGUUCUUGUAAAGAUUUUUCAUAUAGAGUAAGUACCAAAUACCAACUUUGUUGAGAGUUUCUAAAUCUAUUUUUGAUGAAUUUAAUAUAAAUUCGAAGUUGUGCUGUGUCUGAAUCCAUCAUUGCAUGCACAAAAAUCUGAUGAUAUUAGUUAUAUAUGAUUGCACACCAAAACAAGAUAAGCAUAAUCUGAGAUGUAAUUAGUUUCUUUAUACUUUUUCUAUAAAUUUCAUGUAUUCUGCAGAUCCUCAUUUUACCUUUCGAAACUCAUGGUGCAAGAUUUGGGACUGAUACUUUAGCUUUGGAGCAUAAAGCCAAACAUCUACACUUACAUGAACCUACACUCAAUCAGAAAGCACCACAGUAAAAGUCCAGGUAUAGGUAUAUGCAUGCCAUGUGCAUAUUCAUAUAGAAUGUAGGAAUGCAUGAGAAGAUAAAUGUGUUAAACAUGUAUCUCUAGGAUUGUGCACAUAAUUGGUAGGCUGGGAUAUUAUCUUUAAUCUCCCUUUCUAGUUUCUACACUUUAAGAUUGAUCUUACUACUAGAAUAUCAUAUUCAUGUAUUUGAUGAUGAGGAAAGUUGUGUGGCAACUUUAGAGUAAAUUAGAUGCAGAGGAGUUAAUGUUCUCGAAAGUUGAGCAAUGACCUUGACUUAGUGGUCACAAGGAAUUACUGCAUUAAGGUUUGAGCCAUGAAGUUACAUUUUAUUUGUCAAAGACAGAUCCACAGACAAGCUGGCAUGAUAUAAAAACAAGCUGCACCAAGUUAAGUCAAUUGCAAUAGAUUUGACAAACAAGUUCAUAGAUGAAAUUGAUUGGAAGAUCUUGACUUUAUCUGAAACAAAUUGAUUUAUUGUUGGUAAGUUGGUGCUUCAGAAUCAAUAUUUUAAACCUUGAAUUGCAGAAGUGCCAUGCACCAUUGAAUUUAGAAAUGUGUGUACAUAUUGAAAAUAGUUUCAAGUUAUAGCAUUGAACUUAGGUAAAAAUUAGUAAAGCUAGAGAAGUUACCAAUGAAGUAGAAAUAACAAUGUAACUCUAUUAUUAAAAAGGGAGAUGAACAAUUUUAAAAAUUGUGGAAAGUUUUGUUUGACUUAAUAAAAGAGGGAAGAUCUAAGCACUUAGUCAUCGUAUGCUCCAUAUAGUGCCACUUAAAAAUCCUAACUAAAAAGACUUCAAAUUCAAACUCUAUAUAAUAAUUAUUUCUGUUUGCUCCAUCUUGUGAUCUCUUAUGCUGCACUAAUUUAAGAUUAACUCUUUAUAAUAAGCUAUUAAAUCAACAAAUUGUUUGGGUUUCCAAAUUAAUGAACAGAUAAAAUUGUUAAUUUAUCGCUUGUAAAGAAAAAUUACACUAAUAACUGAACUAAAGAAGAUGGAUCUUCGAACUGAAGUUCAACUUUUGCCAUCAGCUUUCAUUAUUCACUCUAGGUUUUUGGUUCUGAACUUCAGCUUUUUUCUCACUUGAAAAGUUUUUUACAGAUUUAUUAAAAUGAUUUGUUUGGUGCAUACUCCUAGUGUCCUACAGUCUCCAACAAUGUAUGACUAUGAUCAGAGAGAGAUGUUCUGCUUCUAUCUUUUUCCUGGAAAUAACCAGAACAGAAAGGUGCAUCAAUGUUUUGGUCUUUCCCUUCACUGCUAUACUCAUUCAUCUCCAGUUCAAACACACAGCUCUUUGUUUUCUCAUUCUUCUUUCCCCAAUGUUUAUGCAUAUAUAUGACUAUAAUACAAAAUGUUUCAUUCAUGAGUCAAAGGUUGUACAUCUGCAGAGGACAUUGAUGGCUACAUUUGUAAUGAGAGGUAUGGCUUAAUACACACACAUAUUCCUCUCAACUAUGGCUUGAGGUCCAAAGAGUAAUUGUAGUUCUGCUGUUACAUUGAUCUUGUUCACAAUUUCAGUUACAUGGUUCAUGAUCUGAUUGUUACCACACAAACACAAACAAACACAGGGCAACUCCUUUAAAUAUGGCAUGAAGUCCGAAGAGCGGUUGCUAUUUCUGCUGUUACAUUGAUCUUGUUCGCAAUUUUCAGUCACAUGCUUCAUGAUCUGAUUACUAAAUUUGCAUUUUUUGAUAACUUCUGCCAACUCUUCCUCUUAAGGUUCUUGUGGGCAGCUAUGUUAUUUCUUGCAAAAUUUGGAGUUAGUACUAGUUCUGGGUAGCUCUUUCUUUAUUAGUUUACAUCUCAAAGACUAAAGUUAGUUUCAUAACAUAUGGUCAACUUGUUCAUCAAUUACUCCUAGGUUGCCCGCAAGAAAUUUCCACCUUUUGUCCAUAGAUAUGGUCACUGUGUUUCCAUAAAAGAUUCGAAUAACUGUGAAUUAUGAGCAUAGUAUGAAGAAGCCUCUCCAGGAGGCCAAUCGCAUUACUGAGGAAAGCUGUCUUAGAAGAAUUCUGUACUGCAACUUUGCUAGCCAGAAAAUUAAUUGGAAAUAAUAACAAUUUCAAGCAUAUUACUCGGCUGGGAUUGUGACCUGAUUAAUUUUCAAUAAAGACAUAAUUCCUUGAGAGAGAAAAUGUGAUGAGAACAAGUCUAGAUAUUCUGAGACUACUGCUCGGUAUAGAUACACAUUGAGCCAAAAAUGUUCCAACACUCAAUUAUUAAUGGAUAACAAUAUAUCCUAUCAGUGUGAGCUUGUAAAACAUCAAUUUGUGAGCAUUGAAUUGUGACUGGCUUGCUUCAGCAUAUAUUUAUCAGAAUUUUUUAUGCGUGGGAAUGCAAGGCUUUUCAAGGCUUGGUUUUGUCUUAUUUUCUGUUUUGCAUUUUGUAAUGUUGCUAGUAUGUAUAAGAUUCUCAACCAGAAACCAAUAGUAAUACUAUUUAGUGGAAGAUACGGCCAUAUCUUGAUCUUGGAUUCUCAAAGUGACCUGUUGAUUAUUGACUUAAUGAUUACGGUCAACUGUCACUUUCUAUCUCUGAAAAAUGUAGGAAAAUGUUAAAAUAUUAACCAUCUCAUAGACAACCUGAAAAAUCAGGACUAGUGCCCGGUGACUUGUGGGUAAGGUGAAGGGCCACAAAUUCUCUUCAUGCAUAUAGCUUUAUUAGGUUUGUAUGGUGCAUGUAUGCUUGCAUUCACAUGUAUGCUUCCAUAUACUUUCACCAUAAAAAGCCUCCUCGCUUAUUGAAUUCUAUAUUUGUAAUUUCAUGAUAAGAGGCUUAGAAUAGGUCUUAUUCAGUGAGUGCCAUGGUUGUACUCACAUGGCUUAAUUUGUUUUUCUUUAUUUUCCUCCCAACCUUUUUCCUCUCGUAUCUGGAAUAGCCAACAGAUACCAUCUUGAUGAGUUAAACAAAUAUUAUAUGAUAAAGGUCAACUUAUCAUCUCAACAUUGCGAGCAGUUGAUAGUAGCAGCAAACUAGGAAAAAAAAACUCUUGACAUGAUACACAACAUAAUACCCUGAUGAAUUCUAUUGUGUUCCUCUUCCUCAAUCCACUGUAUGUUAGAUUCAACAAGUUGGGCUUUUAAGUAUAUUCAUGUUUCUCCAGAAAGGCCCAUGCCUUCUUUUCUGCCAAUGCUAUGCAAAGAGAAAAUUACUGACUGAUAACAGUAUUUCUACCUUCAUAUCUAUUCUAUAUUUGAAGCAAACUUCCAAGCUGCAUUUGUGGGGCUCUGCUCAGGAGGUUGUCCAUCUCGCUCACAUGUAUCACAUGUGAAAUUAUCCAAUUUAAAAUAAAAAUCUGAUUGCCACUGAAGUACCUGGACUCUGAUGGAUCAUGGAAACUCAUUCUACAGGAAAAGAAACAUGGCUUCCAAAAUCAUACAGGCCCUAAAAGCGACUCAGAAAUUUUGGUUCGUGGCCUGAUCGUUGGAUUUGGAAAUGCAACUGCAACCUCAGAAAAUCUCCCCACAGGGUUUAAUGAGCUGAAGCCACCUGAGACCAACUAUGUCUAAUGAGAAAGCUGUCAGAUGCCGUGACAACUACUGUUGCUUCAUGUAUAUAAUAAAAGCAUGCUCGAAGCUGAACGAUUGGCUUGCGGCACAAAAACACAGUGCUGCACUGCUUUUAUGAUGCCUUGGCUGCUUUAAAAUCUGCUGCCUGCCAUGCUGUGAAGGCUUUGAAUAGUUCAUCUGUGUUAAUUCUCCUCUGUAUAGUUUAUGUAGUCAUUUGUCUCUGUUUUCCCUCAUCACAUGUAAAUAAUGUCCACAAAGAGAUGAUUGUAUACAUUGUUCUGUAACAUACUGCUCCCGCAAGCAAUUUUCUUUUCUGAAAUAUGCUUUAAACAAAUCUUAAUGUAACAAUCAGAUAUAUUGCAUUUAAUGAAUUUUGGUUUCUACUGGUAGAAUUUCUUUUAUUUCAUAUUCAUGGUAUCCUCUUCCAGCCGUGGGCAAAGAUAGUUUGGUCUUGAACAUUAUUAAGUGCCAUAUGUUCAUAAACUUUAAUGGCAACUUGCAAAUAGUUGUCUCCUCCGUGGCAACAACUUUAAAAGUUGUUCAUAGUUUCAUGCUCUAAUGGGUGUUAAAGUGUCAUGCAUUUGACUUUUUCAUUGAAAUAUGAACUUCUGGUUAUGUUGAUUCAUUCAUCAGUCAAUGCAUGAACGCUACAUGAACAUAAUUGCACUUGCUCUGAAUAAAGUUUAGUUUUGGAGCUUCUCCUGAGUCCAUUCCUUGAACUUAUUCUGAGUGGAGCAAUGAUGAUAUUUUUGCUUUAUGCUUCUAAUUGUCAAGGGAGAAUACAUGAGCAACCGUACAAAAUAUGAUGCAAAAUUCUAUGAUAAUGACCUGCACAACAUAUAUAUGCUCUUGGCCACCUCUCAUUUUUGCAAUGCUAUAUCAUCAUCUCUCAUCAUGAGAACCUAUUUAGAAUAUGACUGAGAAAAGGGUAAGAUUUUUUUGGCACUGUUUUGGCACUUUAUUUAUAGUGUGUAAAUGGUAUUUUUGACAAAAUUUUUAUUUUCAAUUCAGCCCUUGUCGAGGAUGAAUGAGUUAAAAGAUAAGAAACUACCCUAGUUGUGCGCUUUCUUGAACUCUUCUAAUAAGUUAGUAGAACAUUCUCAAGUCUCUCUCAAGAAAACCUGCCUCCUCUAUCCAGUACGACCUCUACCCAUAACCAUUACUGUUUAGUCUUUUCCUAAGUAUUUGGGUGGGUUUUAUAGAUCCUUAUUCCCUAUGUAGGACCACGGCUGAUAUUAUUUCAAGUUUCUCUGCAUCCGUCUCAAAACCUCCCCCAUGUCACCAUAGUUUUCUCCUCUUUUUCCCACAACCUUCAACACAAACCUCUAUGCAGCAACGCCUUUAAGACAGCCAAUAGUUCUAUGCUCUAGCAUUUAUUAGACUAUCAUGCACUCAGACGUUUUUGUUCAAAAUUGAACUUCUUGGUAUGAUGACUGUUGUGGUUCAAAUUUGGCCCGACGAUGACCACGCCGGAGGAGUCGGGGAAGCUACCGGUCGGGAUGGAGAAAGAACGUUGUUUCCUGCAUGUCGGCGGAUCUGCACAAAGUCUCACCGAUGGGAUUCCGGUGAGAGCCCUCCGAUGCUAAGUUAGAAUGAAUCUUAGCUAGUUUAGCCAAACAAAAGGUCCUUAGGCGUUAUCUGAUGGGGCUAUUUAUAGUUCUCGCGGAGGUGUCCAGCUGACAGAAGUAUGGCCCGUCCUCAUCAUGGAAGGGAAUGGUGAAGGCCAGAUGGCGCGUGGCCAUGGCUUGCUUAGGACACAGGUUUCGAGCUGUUCCUGCACACGAUAUGGCGUUGCUGGCGUUAACAAUGUAUGGUCCUUGGCAGCAAGGUAUGCCCCUGGUCGUCAUGUCGUAGAGUGGCCAGCGAGCAAAGCAUGGCGCGGUGGGAUUAUAAUAUAUGGCCACGUAUGCGAGCGUAGGGGUGCGUGUUGGUGCACAUAUGGAUGUGGCCGUGGACGAGGUUGAGCUCACUUGGAGGCUGCAGCAUUUACUUGAUGAAGUCAGCUUAGUGAGUACUGAGGUCGGGCCGACUUAGGGGCCACGACAUAUUUGGUGAGGUCGGCUCGGCAGACGCUGGGGUCGGCCUAGCCUCCUCGGCUCGGAGGUCAACUUGGUAGGGCGCUCCGAGCUCGGACCGGGGUGCGUCGUUGUAUAGGGCGCCCCGAAUUUGGUCGGGGCGGGUCGUCGUUGUAGACUCCUGAGGAGGCCGUUGUAGGUCGGAGUAGUGGAAAGAUCUGGCCAAGGUCGGACUGGCUCUUAACGAGACCGAAGUCCCGUCUAGCUGGCGGCGAGGUCUACUUGGCUGGAAUUAAGUGGUCUCGUAUUGUGAGUAGGACGACCCAUUUUGCCUCCCAUCAAUGACAUCCGAUUCAUGACCAUUAUUUCAUGCAUGCACUGCUACUUUCCUCAUUCUGAACAGAGUUAUUUCUAGUGCUUCUCCUCAGCUUAAUUUGUAUGUGAUCCGGAAAGAAGCCAACUUCCCACCCCCGAGCAAAGAAGGCAAAAAGGAGAAAAAGAAGAGAGCGAGGUAAAGGUCCUUAUAUUGCUUUAGGGACAUUCUGCAUUAAACGUUAUGACUACUGAUGCAAUUAAUGGUACGUUGGAGCUAAUUAAUAUUGCAUCUUAAUGAAACCUGUUUGGCUCUAUAUAUAUUUCCCUCCGGGAAAAUAAGAGGAAAAGGUUGCGACUCCAUCAGGAGCAUGCAGUAAAUAAUGGCCCCCAAAAUUUGCACUGUUUGGCGGCCUUUGCCUGUCAAAAUGAGGAAGUGACCGACAAGCAAGCGGCACAUCCAGCCAGCCUGGAAGAAACAAUACAAGUCAGCACAUCUAACUGGCCUGUAAGAAAACUUUGAAAUUCGCGUUGGAAGGGAUAUAUCUCCAACGCUUUACAUCUCUUCUCAUAUCUCUAUAUGCUUUGAUGUCCCUGCUUAAAAGCCAUAAGUUCCCUUUUUGUGUAAAUAAAGGCUAGAAUAGAUUACUUCUAAGCCUUUGAUGAAAUCAUCACAUGCCAUGCUUAUGGGGAAGCGGAAAUUCCUAAAUAUAUACAGAUAGCAGCUUGUCCCAUGCACAGUUGUAAUAUUUCCAUUUUGGGUAAGUAUUUUCGACAUUACCCAGGUGCACUGGUCCUCUAAAUCCUGUGAGAGAGUAGUUUUGUCUGAGUCACAUGGCUCCCUUGCUGUCUUUUCUUAGGUUGAUGUGUCAAACCUCUUCUUAUAUAUGCUGCCAACUUCUUCUCGUUUUCUUUUGAUAUGCAUCUCGAGGAAGAGUUUGGGGCCCGGACGCUGGAAAGCUUCAGCACACCACGUGGGAAAGCUGUUGAUCGCUUGCAUGCAUGAAGAGAAGGUAAGACUUCUCGCCAUCAACAUGUCAAAUCAUGAGCGAACUUUCUUUCAUGCAGUAUUCCCCCGGUCGGCAGACAUCAUUUUACAUCUGAUGGCAAAGCAAGCAAAACUUGGAUUCUAUGGAAUGUACCAAGAACAUUAAGUAAAACUUAUUAUUUGACAAACGAUAUCCUUGUCGCUUGCAAUUUUUUCUCUCAUUUUUGGUGGACCUGAAUCUUUCUCAUUCAGUCAUGUAUUCUUUUAUCACCCCACCAGUAUUUGUCUGCUUUAUGGUAGUGUCCUUAAUUAUUUCCAUUGCCCUAACAGUCCUUUAGAACCGCCUCUGAUGAAUCUUGCAUGGAGACAGGUAUUGAUAGUCACUCUUUUUUUUUUUCAAAAUUUUUGUGUCUGUCUUUCUGUAGGCAAGCAAGUCUUUACUCUUUGUUUUUGGGUCUGCAUGGUAAAAUGGCUGCAAGUGCUGGUUUAGACAGGUCGUAGUGCAUCAACUUUUCAGUUAUAUUAAAAAAAACUAUUUUUUUUAAUGAUGAUGAAAAGGGAUGCAAAGCCAUCCGGCUUUUAUUAUAAAAAAAUAGAGUUUACAGAAACUAUUUAUAAAGAAUUUGCAAGAAAGAAAAAUAUUAAAAAAAUAAAAAUCUUUUACAAAAGACAAUAAUCUGUAAGUAAAUCUGUUAAACCAUUCAAUAAGCUGAACAAUCUUAUAAGUGAUUUGAAGGAUUUCUGUAUUUUCAAUGUGCAACUAUAUAAGCUAUAUAUUCUAAUAUGAGUCAAUCUUUUUCUACAAAGAUAGAUCAACGUCUCUCAACGUGCGACGCCAAUGUUGCGAAGUUAUUUCCAAGUUUGAGAUGAGCAUCAAGCAACUUCUUUGAACACAAAUGCUUUAUGUUGAAAAAGGUUAAUAAGAUUUUCUGCAAAACACAAUAGAUAGAAUUUGAUUCCUUUAAGAAAAUCCGAGCAUUUCACUCCUUCCAUAUUUUUUAAUAGAUAGCAGCAAUCAACUGAUCUCCAGCUUUUCUCAUUGAUUGUUGGAAUUUUCUGUAACUUCUUUAUACCAGUCUUGCCACAAUUUCGAGGAUUCAUCAUAUAGCACUCUAGUGGGUCAAACUCAGUUUUACUUUUUAUUAUCAAUCUGCAAUUUACCUCAUGUGUUUAAUAUAAAAUCUUCGAGGAGCAUGGAGAGCGGCGUGGUUGCGCAUAAUUUAGUAAGCAUGGGUGCUCGAGCUCAGAGCGUAAUCUGAUCAUGCCUAAAUCUCGCAGGAAAGAGGUGGAGAUGGGAAGAGCACAUAGGGAUCCCAAGCUUAAUUAACCUCGUAGAUCAAAGAAGAGACUGGCUGCAAGCCUUAAUUAAUUCCACGAGAAUCUCGAUUUUGACUUAUGAGGUGCUUAAAACGUUACUUCUCCUGGAGCCAACUCCGUCGGACACACGUGUCGGCCCGACAAAAAGCAAUCCGGCCAUCACCACCGCGUCGCGACACUUGUACUUCCCGCUGGGGCCAGACGUGGCCCGGCUCCCACGGCGACCAAUAGAAUAACAGCUUUGGUGGCACUGCUGAGUGGGGUGGGGAGCCUGUCGCCAGAAGGAAUGGAGUAAAGAAAAGGUUUCAUGAGCUUUUGGGAUUUGGACUUUGCUUCAGCUCUUAUUUUUAUAUCAACUGGUGCCAAUUUGGCUCCAUAUCUAUUUGGAGCCAUUGUGGAUUCCUUUGGAGUACCAUGGAAAAUUGGCACCCUUCUCAUCAAAACCAAAAAAAAAUGGCACCCAAUAUCAUGGUAAGAUGGUUUGCUAGAAGGGUAGGAUACAAGUGUGUGCAAUCCUUUCUCUCUGGAAGAUUUGGUGGAUUAAUUAGAUUUCCUCCAUGCCAUCUUAACUAUAAUCCGAUGGCAAGUAUAUAUCCUUUAGGUUUGAUUUCUUCCCUAGUAUAACGAGAUCCGUGGGCUACGAUAACACAAGCAUGGGACUGAUAAAAAAGGACUUAGGGCGAUAAAAUAUAAUGUAAUAGCUACUGAAUUUGUGCUUGAAGAGACCUUACCUCCAAUUAUCAGUUGGAUGAAAUGCAACGUUGUCUCAUCGGGGUGCAACUUGAGUGCAUCCAAUUGAUGCUUUUCAAGUUCAACUUGUAGAUAGAUAGGUUAGUAGCUGUAAAAUAUCGGAAGUUAGCUCAGUAGAUGUUUCUUCUUUUUUUCUUGACAUAAAGGCUGAGGUCUGUAUAACUAUCUUACUGAUGUAAUUACUGUAUUUACUUUGGCCUUCUCCAAAAUGAUGUUUUCAAUAACGAAUUACGGAAUCAAUGGAAAUAAUUGUUAACCAUUAUAAUAGUUAUAAUGACUGUUAUUUGCUUUAAAAAAUAGAAUAUUUAUUUUUUAUAUUAAAAUGAUUGCUGUUAUAAUGAAAAACGAUAAGCAUUAACAGAAAAUAAUAAUGUCAUCUAUCUGUUCAUUUUUUUUGGAAAAAACAAUAUUUGUGGACCUAAUUUUGAUUAAAAAAUUAAAUUUAAAAAUAAUAAUUCAUUUAGAGGAAGGUACAAAUGAGAGUAGGGUUUUUUUUGAGAAUUGGGGCUUGCCUUAACGCCGUGUCACACUGCCUAGCAACCAAAGAUUUUACAUUAUCGAAUAUUGCAAGUUACAUCUUUCAAAAUUGGAAUUGGAUAAUGAUAAUAAGUGUGGCUCUUCCUACCAUUUUGACAAAAAAAUAUUAUUUACAUUACAACAAACUAUUAUAAUACUAAAGAAAAUAUAUUAUUAGCUAUUAUAUUAGUUAUAAUUUUUUUUUGUUUUAAACCUUAUUUCCAUAUCCAUGUGAAAGAAGCAUGGAUAGUCAUAUCAUCAUUUGAUCAGUCGCUUUCAUAUUUACAUUACAUAAUUUCACAAACUGAUUAUUGUUCUUAACUAUUCCUUUUCUCUCAUCCAUAAUAAGCUUUUGCGAUGCACAUGACCAGAAUAUGAAAAAAAAAUAGUGGAAAAGAAUUGUUGGAAAGAGUAUAAACUUUGCUCGGAAAAAGAAGAAGCAGAAACUAGAAAGCAAAAGGAUUCAAUCUUUUCUAGGUGAUAAACAGAAGAGAUUGAUAAAUAUCGAAGAUCUUUCCUAUAGCCAAGCUCUUCAAGUUGUCAUGGAGUAUAAUGUAAGGUUAAUUGGAGAACAGUUUGUCUUCAAAAGAAGGAUAGAGAUUUGGGAGUCAAGGAUCCAGAUGAAUUUAAUAUGUAUCUAUUAUCAAAAUGGGGAUGGAGGUAUCUUUCAAAUGACCCAGAAAUUUGGAGGAAGCAGAUACAACUUGCCUACCAUAGAAAAGUCAAAUUAUCUAUGAGUUGGAAACCUAUUAGAAGGUGUUCUAAUCUUUGGCGUGACGUCAUUAACACUCUCCAUGCCUUUUGGAAUAGAGCUUAGUUUAAAAUUGGCAAUGGACAGAAUACACUAUUUUGGAAAGAUCCUUAGGUCUGUGAUGCACCCCUUCAAUUCCUAUUCCUAACUUUAUACAAUCUUAGCAGAAAAAAAUGACACUGUUGUCGAUUACUAUAACCCGCAUUCUAUAUCUUGGAAGCUUAGGAGGCCGUCCUCUGCCUCCUUGAAAGCUCGAACCCAGUUCAUUAAUCUUUCGUCUCCCUUGGUUUCGGUCAUUCUUAAUCAGGUAGAAGACCAAAUAUGUUGGAAAUUGAGUAGCAAUGGGUCCUUCUCCACAAAAUCUCUUUAGCAUUUCUUGAACACUAGAGGUAUCAAAUGUAUAUUUGCUCACUCAUUGUGCAAGCUUUUAAUACCACUUAAAAUCAAAUGCUUUCUUUAGUUGUAUUAGAAAAGGAAGCUUAGCACUAGAGACAACCUUGGAAAAAAAUUGGGUAAGCAUCUUGGCGGCUGUGUUCUGUGCCAUGAUAUAAAUGAGACUGUUGAUCAUCUCUUCUACACCUUUUCUACUAUACGGAAGAUCAUUUGUUUUUCUCUUGGGGUGCUUCACCCUCAAUUAAGUUUUGAAAAUCUAUGCAUUGAUUGGAGGUUGAACCAUUUUACAAAAUGUGCUCAGUCCAUCAUUCUUAUAUUGAUUGCUACUAUAUGUUGGACCUGCUGGAAAGAAUGAAACUCUAGAAUUUUUCUAAAUAAAAGAUCUUCAAUUGCCUCAAUUACUAUAGAGGGACUUAGAUGUUUUAAUGAUUGGUCAAGGCUAUGCAAUUCUAAUAUGCAGAUGGGGCUAGAAAGAAUCUGGUCCAAAGUGAAGAAUGUUGUCACUAGGCUUGUGGAUGAUUGAUGAAGUUGAACAAAGUAGUGAAUGAAUUUUAGAUCAGUUGGAUUUCUAUGCUAAUUUUUUUCAUAGAAUGCUCUUAUUUUAGAUUGCUUCAACAGAGAAUCCUAUUUUUCCUUAUCAGUAUGGUUUUGCUUUGGUUGCAUAUGAUAAAAGUUUCAGCCAACUGUAUCUUCUAUGAGAUAUCCUCUUGGAAGUCAAAUAUGAUUUGAGCAUAUUAUGCUCUGGCUACUAUUUAACUGUCAUGCAGUCCUUGAAAGAAAAGAAACUGUAAAACAAAUCAGCCCCACCAUCGACCUGUGCUUCAGCUGCAAUUAGCCUCUUCAAUGAUUGAGGGAUUGCAGCUUUAUUUCCUUCAGGUACAACUCCUAUUCAACCUCUGUUUACUAUCAUUUGCCAUACUAAAGCUUUGGCCAUUAUCAAGGUGGUGGUUCAGCUGAGGUACUUUCAUCUAGUUUUGCUGAAUUCUCGAUAGCACAGUAUGCUGCCUUUGAAGGUCUAUUCUUGUUUCUUCACUUAGUGGAGCCUCACAAUAAAGAAAGGAAGUAUUCUGAUAGGGAGCUAAAUUUAAUUGGAAACCAGUCUGACAGGAAGCUGAACCUAACUCCUAACCNNNNNNNNNNNNNNNNNNNNNNNNNNNNNNNNNNNNNNNNNNNNNNNNNNNNNNNNNNNNNNNNNNNNNNNNNNNNNNNNNNNNNNNNNNNNNNNNNNNNNNNNNNNNNNNNNNNNNNNNNNNNNNNNNNNNNNNNNNNNNNNUAUAUAUAUAUAUAUAUAUAUAUAUAUAUAUAUAUAUAUAUAUAUAUAUAUAUAUAUAUACAUACUUCUCUCACAUAUUCAAUAAAUUGGGUGGCUCAGCCUUUUCUUCCCUUCGAAAAAAAAACGGUAAACAGAAAUACUAGAAAAGCAAGAUCCCUCCAAGAAAAGGAUCGUCUAUGUUGAUUUUACAGUCGUGGUAGGGAAUACCUUGAGCCUAUCAACAUUCGCAUUAUAAAAUAGGGGAAACUAAUGUCCGGUCCAUUCUUUGACCGGACUGUAAUGUUUAAUCCCUGUUGAAUAUAACUUUAACAACCGGUCCAUACCCAUUUCCAAUGCACAAUAAAUUUUCAUAAAAAAACCAUAAUGCCCUUCACCUCCUUCAUCUUCAUUUCCCCUUUUUCUUCCCCUAUUUUGAAUCCUAUUCCUUCCAAGCCAUCCCGUAAGGUCUGCGUGUGCCCGCUCCGUUUCCGCAUCAUCGGCUCCGAUCUCCAGGCUAAGUGCGACUCCCUCUCCGCCGCCGCCUCCCUUGCCCUCGACCUCCACCCGUGCUUCUUCCCCACCGUCGCCGCCUGCGAGAGAAUCCGGAGAAAAAAUUAUCUCGGCCGUACUCCACCGGCCACGUCGCCGAGCCACCGCCGGCCUCGGCACUCUUCCGGCGCCGCCAGCCUCGUGGGAGGAGAAGGAGGGAGGAGAAGAAAGAAGAAAGAAGAAGAGGCAUUGGGAAGAAGAGAAGAAAAAAGAAAAGAAAAAAAGAAAAAGAAAAGAAAGAAAAAGAAAGAAAAGAAAANNNNNNNNNNNNNNNNNNNNNNNNNNNNNNNNNNNNNNNNNNNNNNNNNNNNNNNNNNNNNNNNNNNNNNNNNNNNNNNNNNNNNNNNNNNNNNNNNNNNNNNNNNNNNNNNNNNNNNNNNNNNNNNNNNNNNNNNNNNNNNNNNNNNNNNNNNNNNNNNNNNNNNNNNNNNNNNNNNNNNNNNNNNNNNNNNNNNNNNNNNNNNNNNNNNNNNNNNNNNNNNNNNNNNNNNNNNNNNNNNNNNNNNNNNNNNNNNNNNNNNNNNNNNNNNNNNNNNNNNNNNNNNNNNNNNNNNNNNNNNNNNNNNNNNNNNNNNNNNNNNNNNNNNNNNNNNNNNNNNNNNNNNNNNNNNNNNNNNNNNNNNNNNNNNNNNNNNNNNNNNNNNNNNNNNNNNNNNNNNNNNNNNNNNNNNNNNNNNNNNNNNNNNNNNNNNNNNNNNNNNNNNNNNNNNNNNNNNNNNNNNNNNNNNNNNNNNNNNNNNNNNNNNNNNNNNNNNNNNNNNNNNNNNNNNNNNNNNNNNNNNNNNNNNNNNNNNNNNNNNNNNNNNNNNNNNNNNNNNNNNNNNNNNNNNNNNNNNNNNNNNNNNNNNNNNNNNNNNNNNNNNNNNNNNNNNNNNNNNNNNNNNNNNNNNNNNNNNNNNNNNNNNNNNNNNNNNNNNNNNNNNNNNNNNNNNNNNNNNNNNNNNNNNNNNNNNNNNNNNNNNNNNNNNNNNNNNNNNNNNNNNNNNNNNNNNNNNNNNNNNNNNNNNNNNNNNNNNNNNNNNNNNNNNNNNNNNNNNNNNNNNNNNNNNNNNNNNNNNNNNNNNNNNNNNNNNNNNNNNNNNNNNNNNNNNNNNNNNNNNNNNNNNNNNNNNNNNNNNNNNNNNNNNNNNNNNNNNNNNNNNNNNNNNNNNNNNNNNNNNNNNNNNNNNNNNNNNNNNNNNNNNNNNNNNNNNNNNNNNNNNNNNNNNNNNNNNNNNNNNNNNNNNNNNNNNNNNNNNNNNNNNNNNNNNNNNNNNNNNNNNNNNNNNNNNNNNNNNNNNNNNNNNNNNNNNNNNNNNNNNNNNNNNNNNNNNNNNNNNNNNNNNNNNNNNNNNNNNNNNNNNNNNNNNNNNNNNNNNNNNNNNNNNNNNNNNNNNNNNNNNNNNNNNNNNNNNNNNNNNNNNNNNNNNNNNNNNNNNNNNNNNNNNNNNNNNNNNNNNNNNNNNNNNNNNNNNNNNNNNNNNNNNNNNNNNNNNNNNNNNNNNNNNNNNNNNNNNNNNNNNNNNNNNNNNNNNNNNNNNNNNNNNNNNNNNNNNNNNNNNNNNNNNNNNNNNNNNNNNNNNNNNNNNNNNNNNNNNNNNNNNNNNNNNNNNNNNNNNNNNNNNNNNNNNNNNNNNNNNNNNNNNNNNNNNNNNNNNNNNNNNNNNNNNNNNNNNNNNNNNNNNNNNNNNNNNNNNNNNNNNNNNNNNNNNNNNNNNNNNNNNNNNNNNNNNNNNNNNNNNNNNNNNNNNNNNNNNNNNNNNNNNNNNNNNNNNNNNNNNNNNNNNNNNNNNNNNNNNNNNNNNNNNNNNNNNNNNNNNNNNNNNNNNNNNNNNNNNNNNNNNNNNNNNNNNNNNNNNNNNNNNNNNNNNNNNNNNNNNNNNNNNNNNNNNNNNNNNNNNNNNNNNNNNNNNNNNNNNNNNNNNNNNNNNNNNNNNNNNNNNNNNNNNNNNNNNNNNNNNNNNNNNNNNNNNNNNNNNNNNNNNNNNNNNNNNNNNNNNNNNNNNNNNNNNNNNNNNNNNNNNNNNNNNNNNNNNNNNNNNNNNNNNNNNNNNNNNNNNNNNNNNNNNNNNNNNNNNNNNNNNNNNNNNNNNNNNNNNNNNNNNNNNNNNNNNNNNNNNNNNNNNNNNNNNNNNNNNNNNNNNNNNNNNNNNNNNNNNNNNNNNNNNNNNNNNNNNNNNNNNNNNNNNNNNNNNNNNNNNNNNNNNNNNNNNNNNNNNNNNNNNNNNNNNNNNNNNNNNNNNNNNNNNNNNNNNNNNNNNNNNNNNNNNNNNNNNNNNNNNNNNNNNNNNNNNNNNNNNNNNNNNNNNNNNNNNNNNNNNNNNNNNNNNNNNNNNNNNNNNNNNNNNNNNNNNNNNNNNNNNNNNNNNNNNNNNNNNNNNNNNNNNNNNNNNNNNNNNNNNNNNNNNNNNNNNNNNNNNNNNNNNNNNNNNNNNNNNNNNNNNNNNNNNNNNNNNNNNNNNNNNNNNNNNNNNNNNNNNNNNNNNNNNNNNNNNNNNNNNNNNNNNNNNNNNNNNNNNNNNNNNNNNNNNNNNNNNNNNNNNNNNNNNNNNNNNNNNNNNNNNNNNNNNNNNNNNNNNNNNNNNNNNNNNNNNNNNNNNNNNNNNNNNNNNNNNNNNNNNNNNNNNNNNNNNNNNNNNNNNNNNNNNNNNNNNNNNNNNNNNNNNNNNNNNNNNNNNNNNNNNNNNNNNNNNNNNNNNNNNNNNNNNNNNNNNNNNNNNNNNNNNNNNNNNNNNNNNNNCUUCUCCUCCCAUAAGCCGGCGAUGCCGGAAGGGGGCCGGGCCGUGGCGGCCGUUAGAGGGAGCUGCGGGAGGGGGCGUGGCCGCCACCGGCGACGGCCGCUGCUGGCCAGUGGAGAACGCCUCUCCUCCCGCGAGGUCGGCGGCUCCAGUAAUGGGCCAAGCCGCGACGGACGCGGGAGGAGGACGGGUCGUGGCCGGCGACGGCCGCAGGAGGGGGCUCGUGAAGGGGCGGGGGCAGGGGCAUUCCUGGCGGCGCGGCCGUGGGAGGGGGCGAGCCAGGGCUGGCGGCGGCUGCGGGAGGGAGCUUGGGCAAGGGCAGGCCAUGGGAGGGGGCUCGGGAGGGGCCGACGGCAGCUACGGGAGGGAGCUCGAACGGGGGCGGGCCGCGGUCAGCGGUAGCCGGGCCUUUUUCUUCUUCUUUUUCUUCUGGGAACAGAAGAUCAGGAGGGGCAGGGGCACGGGAGGGGGCGAGCCGGGGCCGGUCGCGGCCGCGGGAGGGAGCUUGGGCAGGGACAGGCCAUGGUCAACCGGUCCGUACCUCCUCCUCCUCCUCCUCCUUCUUCCUCUUCUUCUUGGAAUAGGAGAUCAAGAGGGGCAGGGGUAUUUUCGGCAUUUUUUGAAAAAAUAAAAGGGGCUCAGGGACCGGGAAUUAAACUUGGUGGAGAUAUUGGACGGAACAUUUUAAGAGUGGUCAACGGGGACUUUUUGUUAUAACGCGGUCUUUUGGAGGGUGGGGAAUUAAUUACCCCUAUAAAAUAAUAGAUUAUAGAGGAUAGACGAGUGGCUCAAAGAAUUUACCCUUGUAAAUAGGUCGAGAAGAUAAGGCCACAAGAUAAUUUCCCAUGCUUGCUCUUACGAAUUUGCAACUAAUUACAAAUAACCACUCGCGCGCGCGCGCACACUCUCUCAAAGAAAAGAAAGAAACUAAUGAACAGUCUCUAUUUUAUUCAUAUUUUUAUUUUUAGGUUUCAUCAUGUAAGAGAUGGGUGCAUGCAUGCGAUACUCUUCUUUAUUCUUAUUUUUACCUUUGACUCCGGGUUAUGGGGCACGUUAGAGAUGAGUGCAUGCAAUAGGUUUUAUCAAGCACAGCAGUAGGUUUGUGCGGUGUUAAAGUUGGUUCACGGAGGUGAAAAGCUUUUGGAGGAUCUACUUCCGAAAUCCUCGGCUUUGUUUCCCUGGCAUUCUUCCCUUUCUUUCACUGUUUUCUUUUCGUUUUCUUUCAAAACCUCCGUCCACAUUCUAAUAUAAAAACAUAUAAGGGUAUAAGUGCCAGAUCAGCUGGACGGUAAAAGUGGAGCACAGCCUGUUGGAGGGAGGGACUGCCACGUAUCCCAACCAAACCUUGCGUCGUGUCGUGCCUAGAACACCAACUUUUUUUUUUUUUCUUCUAAAAACGAAAAUAUCAAACAUGAGAAGUAUGAAUACAUCCAAAAAAAAUUUAAAAAACAUUACAUCACAGAGUGCACUAGAGGAUAUGGUUCUCUGUAUGGUUGAUAACAAAAGAGGCCACCUAAUCUAUAGCUCCAUUGGCCUCUCUAAACACGUACUUCAUCUGGAGCACCAUCCCACUACGGAUUAUGGUCCGGAUAUCUCUUAGCAGUGGAUGAUAAUUACCGACCAUAAUCACCGACCCUCUGAAACUCAAGAGAAGCUGCAAACCCCACGGGUGCAGCCGGCAGUCGUACAUGGAAAACCGUCAUAUGCACCACCAAAUCGCAGGUAAGGAUUUGGACUGAUGUGGACGGAGAUUUUAGCCAAUGGUUGGGUUGGUAGGUGACACGCCCACGCGCCUGCCCGGGCCCGGGCCCCGGCCGGCCACGCCAUGCCCUCAUCCUUGUACUCCUUCAGGUCCCUUUCCCCUUCUCUGCCGACUUGGGCGCUGCUCUCUUUUCGGGCAGGGGAUUCCCACCAGUUACCUUCUCUUUCGUUCUCAGCGGUCAAAUUGAUUGCAGUGCUACUUCGGGUAUAGCUAUGUUAUCUUUAGAAGGAUACAAUUCCAAGAGGGAUUAGGUGGAGAGAGAACCCUCUGGUUUAGUUGGACCUUGCCCUUUCUAGUGGUUAGUGAGGAUUGCUUGAUUACAUUUCAAGUUGUGGUCUAUCACACUCUCCAAAGAUGAUUAAAUAAAGUUCUAGUCCAAUGGUUGUUGCCUUUCCACUGGGAGGACAUUUUAUACUCAAACUUGAGAGGUCUUAUUCUUAAACAUAUACAAUGGUUGAUAAUACUCUAGUGUUAUCAUCCAUCAAGAAAGAGCAAACUAGUUCUAAAUUACUCCAUUUCAGCAACUGACACCUGGUUCUUUACUCGACCAUGUUGAAAUAUUUAGAAAAGAAAAUAAAAGAAAAGAGAGAGAAAAGUGAUUUUUUUCUUUGUUUUUUUAUAUUUGGUACAUUUUAGGAGUUAUAUAUACUUGCGUACAGAUUUCAUACAUGAAAAAUAAUAUAGGCUGAUAUAGAUUCUCACUAACAAUGAAACAUAUUAUAAGUGAUACAGGUUGUCAUGUGAUCCCUAAAAUCACUCUAAUAAGAUUAUGUUAACAAAGAAAACUAAUACAGGCUAACAAAGAAUCACGUUGAUAAAAGAAAAUAUUAUGAGUGAUGUAGAUUGUUAUGUGAUCCCUAAAACUAUUCUAACUGCCCAUAUUAUUUUUUGUUGAUUGAAAAUUUUGUUAUCAUCCCUUGAUUUUGAUGGCCAUAUGUGCACUUAAGUGUAAAUACGUAAGUAAUUGUAUGCAAAAACGGAUGCUGAGUCUGUGUAAUUGUAUGCAUAUAAAAUGUUAAUCAUAUAAGGAGGAAAAAGAAGAAGAAGGAGAAGAAGAAUCAUCUUAUGAAAUAUGCUGAUACCAAAACUUGCAUGUAUUAAAGCAAAAAAUCUUCCAGUAAAUGCGUGCAUCGAGUACUCUUCUUGUCUUGAGCAAAGUGAAGAAUGUGCUGCUUCGACCUACUGGUGAACUCAGGUGAUUAGUGUAUGACUCUGAGGAAACAAACAGCUAGAGCUGGUAGCUAAUCCUCGGAGGGGUCUGUCUGGUUAUCUUUACUUCCCGGGUCCCUCGAAAGAAAGGCAGAGAGAGCGGGGAAAGAGCAAGAGAAACUGAGAGAUGGGCAGCGGGCAGGAAUACAAGCUGGUUACUGCUCCCCUGAACGAGAAAAGAGAAUGACAGCAAUUGUACCAUAAUUGGCGAUAUUAUCAGGCAGCACUGUAUCAGUAGUACUGCAAUCUAUGCUCUUCUCAUAUUGAUCUUUUCCUAGAAAAAUAAAAAAGAAUUUUAUCCACCCUCAUCUUCCCCUCGUAACAUUUUUAACCAUGCAAAAUAAUUGAAGGAAGGUGGGGCCAAGAUGGAUAAGGGUGACAAUGGUGGUGGGUGGCAAGAAUCACAAUCAUAGGGUGUAACAUGAAUUCGAUAGCAGAGGGAAAGUAGGGUAAGGCUGGCUAUAUAUGAUCAUUGAGGAUGGUGGUACAGUGGAGAUUAGAUAAUAGAGGUCAUGUGGAUAAAAUAGUAUAGCAAUUGCUAAAGGGAUAUAGGAAAUUUUUACAUAAAUGUAUGGUAGAGGCAUUGAAGGAGACAAAAUAAUGCUUUGUUAAAGGCUGGGUGGAAAACUUUGGCUGGAAACUAAUACAGUCUAUGAUCACCUUAUAAUGCUCCAUUGAUCAUGAAUCUUGAGUUCCGCAUUCUUAAUAGAUAGUUAUAGUAUGGAUGCAUCUUCCUUGCUUUCUUUCAAAAAGGACUAAACACAAAAUUCAAUUCCCAAGCCUUAUAUAAAUAAAGUCACCAUCCAUAGUAGCAGCGAGUGUACCAUAUGAUGAUGGUAAACUUAUGUUGAUAAGAAAGAGGUUGCAUCAAGAUUAGCUUUGUACAAUGCAUCAUUAGGUCCGAAAGGGCUUCGUCAUAGCAAAUCCAGGAGCAAUAUUGAUUAUAUAAAAAAAUGUGGGGGCUUAUAUGUAAAACACCUGGUUUGCUUCUGUAUUGGAAAGGAAUUCUUGCUGUUUUCGAAUAUAGUAAUUAUUUAGUAUAUUAAAACUCAUCCAUUAAUUCUACAAAAAGGUAAGAUUAAUGUUUCACUGGCCAGGGAUAUCAAAGGCAUUGGGGGAGUUGCUUUGUGCUCCACUUUUGGACACAAACUCUAUCAAUAUCUCUAGAUAUUUAUUUAUUUUUGGAUGAAUCGGAUAUAUUAUACCAUACAUGAAUAGAAAUACAUUCAUGAGUAUCAGAAUAUAAAUUAUUCAAACAAUCAAGAAAAAUAUUUGUAGCUGAGUCCCAUAAUAUAGUCCAUAUAUGGUUAGCUUCCUUGCACAUAAAUAUUGCCUCCAAAAAGCUCCGUGAUAACUGUCAAAGAAUCCCUUUCUAAAUAGAUCCCUCUCGGCUGCAUGAGAUUUCGAGAUACCUUGAUCUUUCCCAAUUCUAGUUCUCAAGGUCUUAUCACUUUUUUUUAAGAGGGAGAAAAAGGCAAUGAAUUACUUCUCCCAAUUUAUUAAGUGCAGAAAUUACAUACAGAAUGAAAAGAAAAGCAAAGAUAUGGAACAUAAAGUCGAGUACAUAAGCUGAGCAAGGUAAGACAAAAUUGCUUGAUAGCUCUCUCAUCACUCAUUUCAGAUUGUGUACAUCAUAGAAAGAGCAGAGUGAAUUUGAGAGAAAUUAUGCGACAGAGCUAGAAAUUAUGUGACCUCUAUUUCUUCCUUCCCACGGUUGCAGGGGAAGUAUUGGGCUUUAUAUAUGUAGAGUAAAAUCCAUCAAGGCUUUAUCUCCAGAGAAAUAAUUUUCUCUGCAUUUUAAAGUAGGCACCUUCCACCGGUUCCUAAGGCAUUUAGCCGUUUGUAACUGGUCAAAGCCUGUGACAAGAACCGUAAGAUAAGGCACAUGAAUUGCUCGAAAAUUUUCCAGUGAGUAUAUCCCGAAGAAAACUUCUUCAUAGUGAUUGAUUGGAUACGGAGAAUGGACUGUUACGAAGAUGGCCAUUCGUUAAUUGGUGAGACUCGCAAAUUGGUCAGAGAGAUAGAGUCAUCUUAGGCAGCACAUGUAUUUCGGUAGACAAACAAAAUUGUAGAUUGGGUUGCCUCUUUCAUUGUGCAACACUUCAGAAAUUUUAUCUAAACUAGGGUGAAUGAUAUUUUUUUUUUGUAUUUUUUUUUUUUGAUUUGGCUGGCCAUACCAUGUGGGAACAAUAUAAAAUGCCGAUUUUUAACAAAAAAAAAAUCAUGAAAGGAAAGAAAAAAAAAAAGAAAAAACAAGGGGAACCAGCAAGCCUGCCAGGAGGGUGGUAAAAGCUUGGAGAGGUGAAAGUCUGUGCUUGGGAACUUGAACCGUGCUAAGUGUCUUCAGAGGACUCGCACAGAGUGAUGGGAUUCUGGAGCACUUUCCUCUAUCGAUCUAUUUAACCCUCCCAAAGCUCCAAUUGGCGAAAGGAACUUCGCAGCUACUUCACUCAUGUCCUUUUCUGUUUAUUAGUAGCAGCAAACCUCCUCUUCCUUCAAGAGCUCCGGAGUGUGGUGGAGGCAAGAAGGCGGCGACUACUUAAAAAUGAACAAGCCUGGACGCUAGACCGAGAAAGAGGCUGUGCAUUCUUAUGAUUCCCAUCGGCAGAGGAUCUUCUUUUCUUCUUUGAGCAACUCAUUGACAAAGAAUUUUGUUUCCCACUUUGUUUUUUUUUGAAAAAAACAAAUUUUGCCAAGGAUCUUGAAAGCUAUCCUCUCUCUCUCUCUCUCUCUCUCAAUAUCUAUAUCAAAUCUGGUCGGCGAUAUGGGGGUAAGGACCACUACUUGUAAAAGCUUUAUUGUUAGAUAUAGGAGAAAAGAUUGCGUUUCAUUUGCUUGCUACUCUUGGUUUAUUAAUGGAAUCCGUGGGUUUCAUUUGGUGUAGAUUUUGAGUUGGGUGCAAAAUAAGUUCAACGGGAAACAAGAGAAGCACAGAUUCGACGUUGGUUCGAGUUCAGCUCGUCGUAAGUGAUCCACCAUACGUUUGUAUGCUUUGUUUGAUUUGAGUGCUUUUUUCCGACCUCCCCAUGGCUUUCCCUAAGUUGACUGGUUUUGAUUUCUCGUAUUGUCUUUUUCUUGAUAACCUUGAGGAUUGUGAUGGUGAAAGGGAGAAAUCUUGGUUUGAUACCAUGAGCUCUGCUGAUAACGCUAAAGGAGCUUAUUUCCCCAAGAGCCAUCUCUUUUCUUAGUAGUGAAUUCAGCUUUGAGCCAUCUCUUUUGCUUGGUUAGCUCAGAUGAGUCCUUUUUUCUUUCUUGAUAUAAGGGGGAAAAAUGGCUUUUGAUCUUGUUGAUGGUGAUUUUUCCACCAGAAGUUAGCCAUAUUUUUUGAGGGUGGAUCGCCAUAUUAUUAUUUGCAUCCUCACUCUAUUGUUCUUCUUUAAUUAGAUACUUCGAUGCAAGAUGCCUGCAAAGAAGAAUUCAGUGAUUGGCCUCAAGCAUUGCUGUCGAUUGGAACGUUUGGCAACAGAGAGUCGAAGGAAGACCCACGGAGACAUGAGCCCUCAGAAAACUUGGGUUCAACUCAAAAUCUGCCGGACUUCACAUUAGAAGAAGUGAGAAAGUUACAAAAGGAGCUAAUAAAACUAUUGUCCGGCAAGUCAAAAGCUGGCACCAAGGGAGUAGAAGUGGGAGAAGAAGAGAAGGCCAAUCUCCCACUGAAUAGAUUUCUCAACUGCCCAUCAACCUUGGAGGUCGAUCGGACUGCUUCCCUUAGGCUGCAUGAAGAUUUGGAUGAUAACAAUGGCGAUCUCUCGCCCAAAACCAAGAUCAUCUUAAAAAAGGCAAAAGAUUUGUUGUUCGAUAACCACGACGCAGUCAAGAAAAAAUCACUCACGUUUCUUCUUAAGAAAAUUUUUGUAUGUCGAAGCGGCUUCUCACCAGCUCGGAGCUUGAGGGAUCCCAUUCCAGAGACAAGGAUGGAGAAGGUAUGUUUCAUGCAUGCAUUAUCUUGACAGAUGUGUCUCUCACAUUGGCAGUCUAAAUGGUUCCUUAACCUUUAUUUUUAUCUUCUUUCCUCAAAAGAUCUUGAGGACAUUAAUUCAUAAGAAAAUAUACCCUCGAAGCUCUGCUUCAUCUUCGACGAGGAAGUACUUGGAGGAGAGACCCAUGGAGAAGAUGCAGGCAGAGAAAAAGGAGGAGAAAGGGGAGGAUCGAUGCAAGUGGGUCAAGACCGAUUCAGAGUGUAAGUUUCAUGCGUCAUCACAGCCUGAAUGCAUAGAAAAAUCUAUAGUUUCUGAAGCGCGCAAACAUAUGUUUGAAUGGGCGCUUACUCUAUUCUUUUCUUCUUCCUUUGCUUCCAGAUAUUGUUCUGGAGAUCUGAACACAUCUGAUUUUGGUGAGUCCUCAGAGUUUAGCUCUUUUUCUUUGCAUUGUUAUUUUCAGAAACUCUAAGCUAAAAUCAUAGCAAUGCUUGCUCCGUUUAAGCUUAAUUUGCAGGUAUGUUGCAUUUGCCGAAAUCCAAAUGUCUCGCAUCUCAAGCCAUCUAGAUGAUUGGGGCUACAGUGUUGUAAAGGAAAGCUAAUCAAUGUACUCAACCAUCCGUUGCAUUGGUCACAAAGAAUACAACCCUAAUACAAUGGUGGAAUGGAGACUGAGCUUUUGCUCGAGCUUGUGCAGGUGUAUGCCUAGGAAUGUCUUGCAGUGCCAUGACAGGAUAUUUUGCAAUGUUCAUAGAAGAAUUUUUCUUUUGGCAAAUGCCAUGUAUUUAUCCUGCAAUUUUACUUAUGGUUCAGUCAUCUCUUUCUCUUUUGCAUCUUAUAAGGUGACGCACUAAAUUUUAGAGGCUUUGAGAUAUUUCUUUGUAGGAAGUUAUUUCCAAUGCAGGCUUGAGGACAGUCGGUAUUUGAUCGGAAUACUUCGACACAUAUCAAAUGCAAGAACUUGAUCACGGCUAACACUGGAUUUUUGGCAUAUGAUCAAAGAAGAAAUCCAACUUGAGCUCCUGUUUGCAUUCCGGUAACAGAUUUGGUGGGCCAGAAAUUAAAAAUGAAAGCCCUUGAUAGAUUGUCCCUAGGACACUUGCACGAGCUAAUCAAUUCACCGUAUCAACUUCUGUUGAAGUCCUCUUGUGAAAAAUUGGCUCUCAACCACUCUCCUCUCUAGUGGUGACUAACUUUCCCUAGAAGUCCCCUUUCAAUGAUGUUAUAAUCAUAAACCUUGAUGGCAGUGCACUGGAAAAUGGAACCACCGGCGGCGUGAAUUUUAAUAUCCAGUAUCGCAACGGGUAGGUUGCAGCAGAUAUUUCUACUUCGGUAAUAUUCUUACAAUAAAAUUGAGAGCUGCCUGGAAAGGAAUCGACCAUACAAUCACCAAAUCAUAUAUUACAAAUGUAUGGCUGGAUGGUAAUUCUCAAAUGAUGAUUAAUUAGAUCAAUCGAUGGUCACAAGCUUAUCCAUCCUGCAUGUUGAUAUUUGGCAUGUUGGGGUCAUUUUCAGAGGCAAAAUAAGCUACUAAUUGGGUUGUAUCUUAUAUUGCCCGUCACGCAACUGACAAUGUUUGGAACUCUGUCGAUGCAUGCCCAUUGGAACUUAGAGAUUGGUUGUUUUCUCUAAUUAUCUUUGCACUCUUGGGUUCUAUUGCCAUUUGUUAUAUCAAAAGGGGGGAAAAAAUCUAUAACGAACAUAGGGAAAGCUCUUUUGCAAAUAACCUCCCAACGAAUUUGACGGCACUAAAUAUAGACACUGGACGUGCGGCUAAUUAUUAUCGAAUACAUCUAAAUCUAGUACUAGUAGUGUACGUGUCCAAAUAUGACACGAGUGUCAUAGGGCCUAUACGGCUGUACCCCACUUGAUCGUAUCCGAUGCAGAAGCUGCUCCGUGGUGGUGUUUUUUUUUUGAUUCGGGUAACAACUCCCUGGUGAUUUUAGUCAAAGGAGCAGUUCUUUUCCUUGUCAGCUUCCACCUCCCGUCUCUCUUCCUUUCUUUUUCGAUGGGAGGCGGAGAGAAAGGGGCUAUCUUUUUCGAGAGCAGGGAAAACUUUCAUCCUUCUUCCUAAUUAUUUUCCCUCGAUUCCUUGUAAUCGAUCCGGCCUUUUCUGUCCCGUCGAGAAAUUUCUGUUUUUGGGACUAGGGUUUUGAUUUUCGGGUAAGUAGGGCUGGGAUCUGGGAGCGUUUCGGUGGAAAUUUAGGGUUUUGGCUUGUUGGUGGUGGUGCGGGUAAGGAAGCUAGGAUUUCGAAGAAAAGUUGGUUUUUUAGGGUUCUAUUGGUUGAGGGAGAGUGGGAGAGCUUGAUUUGGUGGUGGGUUGGUGAGGCAGUGGAGAAUUCGGGCUGCCAAUGCGAUUUGUCGCGGUCUGGGUGGACUCUUCGGUGAUUUUUGACAGGCCGAAAGGGUUGGGGCUCGAUGUCGUGGGCUGGACCGGAAGAUAUCUUUCUAUCUACCUCCCUUGCGAGUUAUCUUGACAGUAAGCUUAAGCGCCUCUUUUCCCUUCUUUAUACUCUCCGAGCUGCUGUAAAUUUUAGGGAAUUAAUUUGAUAUGAGAUUUCUUUUCCCUUGUUUCUUGGAUACAUUUAUUUCGUUUUUCUAUUUUUGAUGGAAUUAUUAGCUGAAAAUGAUGUAAUGAAUUGUUGUUUAUCUUCAAAUUGUUCGUGAGCUUCCUACAAGUUAAGAAAGGUGUCUUACCGUUGUUUUUAAUUGCAUUAAUGUUGGGCGAAGGUUGUGCUUCGCAAUUAUGUCGGACUGAGCUACUUAAGUUGGCGCUGGUGGUAAUAGGUUUGCUAUGUAUUUUUGCUCUCAAUUCAGCAAUCCUUUUUGAGGUUUGUAUGCAUCUUGUGAAGGAGGCUUCUGGUCUGCUCUUGGCUUCUCCGGUUUUGAUGAGGUUUUGACAAAGUAAUGCAGUUUCUUAAAUAUAGUUGUUGCUGGCAAAAAAUGACCUGCAAUGCAUGCUCAACUCUUGCACAACUAACUGCUUCCAUAUUUUGGUGUUUACUACUACUAUUUAGUAGAUAUUUAGUACUAUGUUGUUUAAUACUAACUCUUGCACAACUAACUGUUUGCACAUGCUUAACUCUUGCAUUACUAACUCAGAAAAAUGCUUGUAGAUUUGUAAUUUAUUGCAUGUUACUCAUAUGAGCAUUGCUGAUAAAUCAUAAUAUUUUGCUCAAGGUUAUAAUAUGGAGAAUAAGUAAAAUUUUUGGAUAAGGUUGACAGUUAUGUUUAAAAUGGAAACCAUGCCUUAUAUGUUAAGUUUUUACAGUUGUACACCAGCUUGUUAAACUCUUUGAAGAAAAGGAUUUGGGGUGAAGUUCUUAUCUAUGAGGAACAUAUAGUUUAGUCAGGGGUGUGGUAUUUCUAAAUCGUUCAUCAAUUUUUGCACAUCAUAGCCUAUCAAAUUUUGCUAAGGAGACCUGAUAACCUCUGGUUUUAGGAAUGAUUUACAUUUGAGACAUGUUAUGAAUCCUUUAUGAAUUUGAUAACUAGGCCACUUACUAAUGGCAUUUUUAUAGUUUCUUCGGUCAAAUGGGGCUGGCUUCCUGGAGAAAUCAGCAAGCAUGCAUGUAUGACAAGGGAGUCGUAGUUGGAAUGAGAAGGAUCUCAGAGGGAAACCUAAGGAAUAGUUGAUACAUUAAGUGAUUGAGAAUUUUUAGGUGAUUGUUUAGAGAUCUAUUUUGAUUAAUUAUCUACAUAUCAUGCUUUAGCUAUAAGCUCGGUUGAGGGAGUCAGAGAAUCACGAGGAUUACAUUUGAGUGGUUUACAUCGAAUGAUGCAUGGAGAAAAUAUUUGGGAAGUUAAUAUGAAUCCUUGUUGCAUUCUAGUCUUUAUGGCCCUUGAUUGUAUCCUUAAUAAACAUAAAAAAGGCGACUCAAAAAAUGUGGACUUUCUUUACAGAGCAGUUCAGUUUGGAACUAUUGACGUGAGAGGAUUUGAAAACAAAUGGUGGCAUGGAUUCAAAAUCAACGAAAUGGGAGUAUCAUUUGGUACCAUACUGUUCUGACAUGAAACUGGCACUGAUGCGGAUGCUAGGCCAUUGAGACCAUCCAUGUCGACAUGUAUGGGCUAUGCCCGUGCAUACCAGUGCAUACCAGUGACACUAUAAUGAUCACUGUAUAUUGACAAUUUUUUAUUUUCAUUAAUAUUUUCAGUUUCGCUACUUAUCAUCGGUAUUGGUACUAUGCCAUAUUGUUCGGAUAGAAAAGUGGUAUGAGAUUCAGUACCAGUAUUUAAAAUCUUGAUGGUGAACAACCCUCCAUCAUUCUCACAGAUUUGGAAUAUUAUAGAUCUGAAUCAUUUUAUGCAUGUCGUUGAGAGAAGGAACAACUAUUAAAGGUGGUUAGCUGUUAGUUUAGAUUGAUAUAAACGACGACACUUGUUUUGUUUAAGGCUAUUGUGAACACUUUUUUUAAAGCCCUAGAUCGAGGUAUAAAUUUUAGAUGUUAAAUCAUUCAAUUUUGCCCAAUGUAUGUAGAUGCUGCUAAAGUUGCUGUGGCACUUUCAUACAUAUUUCACUUCUAGAUAGGGUUGAAUAACUUGUUGAUAACAGGAUUCAAAGAAAUAAAAAAUCGGCAUUCUUAGUUGCAAGAAGAUAACCUUAUAACUUCCUUGUUAUGUUGAGAAAAAUUCAAAUCAAGGGUUUAUUGGAAGAUAUCUGAUUUUAAUUUAACAAGAAUGCGAAAGCAUUAGUUGAUGUGUCAAGCAUUUUAACUAUUUGAGUUUGAGUUGCAUUGGGAGUUUGUUGGAAUGCAAAUGGUAGCCUGAACUAGGGUCGGGCUGAUCUGACCUGACAAAAACUUUGCGUGGGCCUAAGCUUGUUUUAGGCCCACCAGGACCUGACUUAAGCCCAUGGAUUUUAGACAUGCUUGGCUUGGUCAUAGAAGUUUGAUGUGGGCAUCAUCCAAUUGAGGCCCGGCAAACUAGACCUACCGACUGCCCUGAUUCAAAUCAUCACCAAUCUUUGCAUAUAGAGUUAAGUCUCGCAGAAAAGAGCGGGAGCCAAGAAAUCUCAUGGAAAGGAGAACAAGAGACAAGGAUUUGUUUACAAAGUGUUUGAGAAAGAGAGGAAUGGCUUUGGACAUUUGGAGGCAUUGGGGGAGGAGGAGAAGCCAAAGGAGAGAUGUAAUGAGGUGGGAAGAGGAGGCUGGGUGUUGGGGGGCUCUGGAAGCAAAGAUGAGAGAAAGUAGGAAGUGGUGAUGUGGGUAAGUGGGAAUUAGGUAUUGAGCAAGUGGGUUUAUUAGAUGUGAAUAAUGGGAGGAGACGCCAUACUUUUAUGAGGAUGAUUGAUAGCUAUCCAUUGAUUAAGUAGGUGGAACAUGUUGGAAUUUUAUCCUUCAAAGCAGCCAUAUUGCUAUAAUUUGUAGUUUUUCAAAAGUUUAAUCUAUCAAAAAUUCAAAACAAUGACAAUUAACAAAUAUGAACUCAUUUAUUUGGCUGGGUAGGUCUUGACCUAGCCUGUUUUGAAAUAGUUUUGGAUUCAUAAUCUUGACACGACCAAACCCUUUACCUAGUGCAACCCAUUUGAAUCUCUAAGAUAAUCUAUGGACUGUUUAGUCCUGUUACUCUAUUCCAUUUGACAUGAGUUCGAUCAUGCAUUCAAAUCUCUCCUAAAAGAGAAAAGUUUCUUGUGUUUGCCUGUUAUGAAGCCACAUCCAAUUGGCCCCUUUUUCUCUUUGGAGUUGCAGCAGUUUUUUAUUUUGUAGGUAAAAUAUUUGUGUCUAUGCCUAGAUCAGCUAGAAGCAUGUUGACAAAGGAUUAAGAGUUAAUUUGUACAUGAUUUGGCCUGGUUAAGGAAAUAAGAAAAGUACAGAAAUGUAUUGUAUAUUUAAAAAUAUUAAAAGAGAAAUGAUUAAAUAAUAUUUAAAGCACAUGAGUGGCUAGGUAAAAUUCAACAAGAUUCACAAGCUAUUCUUAAUAAAGUUAGAUGCUUCUUAGGGUUGCUGUUUUUUGAACAUGUUCCCCUCUCCCUGACAGUUAAAAUUGCAUUUUUUUUUGAAUUGGUAACUACUGCAGGAAUUUCUCAUUGGUUCAGAAAAGCAUGUCAUCACUUUGUUGCUCCUCAACCACCAUAAUUUUUGGGUAGUUUAUUUUUUUAUGGAGGGAAAUAAUAAAAGAAUAAAAAAAACAAAAUACCCUGUUUAGAGGACAAACACAACAGUGAAUACCAGGACAGCUUUGGAUUAUUUUUUUUUUAAAUGGUAGGUGUUCCUCAUUAGUACAUUUUUAACCACCGUAGUGGGGUAGUUUAUUUUUUAAUGAAGGAAAAUAGCAAAUUAAAAAAAAUAAAAAGAUAAAAGUACUCUGUUUAGAGGACAAACAUAAUGGUGAAUACCAGGACAGAUUUUUUUUUAUGUGGUAGGUGUUCCUCCUUAGUACACUGCGUAUUAGUUAUGGGUGGCCAUAUAUAUUGCCAUAGUCAUAUGGUCAUUAAUUCAUGGACAACUGUGAGAAGGAUUUAAAAUACCGUGCUUUUAUCUUUUCAGAUGAUAAAACAUCUACAUGUGACAUGCACUCAUCGUUUUAAAAAUCAGUUGCUAUGGCUGCUAUGGUAGAUGCUAUAGCUGUUUCAGCCCAAAACCCACUAUGGUUAGUAUCACUGCAAUGUUACAUGGGGCUUGAGUAUGAAUCACCCGAUAUAGCUAGGGAAAAACUGCUAUGACGACUGCUAUGUUACACUUGCAAUUGGAUGUGGAAAUUUGGAGGAAUAAGACUAUUCUAUGGAAUAAGAGUUUUGUGUGUUUGGUUGGAUUGAUAAGUUUGGGGGUUAUAGAAGAAAAGUUCUGUUGUGAUGUUUGGUUGGCAGAAUAAGCUGAGGGGUAAAAGGGAUUUAUGUUUGGACAAAACUACCCUUCCACCAUUUGUGAAAAUUUUGCUUACAAUGAUUGGUUGUUGAAAUCUCAACAGCCUCCCCACGCUUCACGCUAGCUUCCUCAACCCUUGUGCCAGGUCCACUGGCACGGAGCAAAAUUUAUUAAAGUAAAAUAGAUGAAAUCAUACACUUUAUAUAUCUUUUUUCUAUAGUUGAUGUUAUGCAAUUGUGGACAUUAUUAUUUUAUGGCUGAUGUUGUGCAAUUCUGGACAUUUUAAUUCUAUAUGUUAUUAUGUUUUAUGGAUGAUGAUAUUUGUCAUUAGAAUGCAGAUCUUUACAUUGUAUGGAUGUUGUAAUGAUGUUAAGAUAUUAGAUGGAUGAUGUUUUAUAGCCUUGCCUUUGAUGUUUUUCAUUAUUUUUUUCAUGAAAUUGAUGUGUAUCAAUUUUUGCUAAAUAAUUAAAAAUACUGAUAAUUUAUAGCAGCCUGCUUUGGUUACAUAGUGCCCGCUAUUUGCUACCUGCUAUGUAACCCUCUGGCUGCUAAUUGCCCAGUAUCUGAUUUUUCGUACAUUGUGUUCACCAUUGAAAAUGGUGGCUGGGUAGUCAGAGCCUUUUUUCAAUAGCUAGUGUAAACGUUUCUCUACUCCUUUGGUAAUACAUGGUCUAUACAGCAUCAUCUUUAUAUGUGUGUGUGUGUAGAUGUAUAAAUGUAUUUAUAUGUUAUAUAUGUACAUAAGUAUGUGUGUAUCUAUGUAUAUAUCUAUACAUACAUAUUUAUGAGUAGGAUUGCAUACUUUAUGUUAAAUGUUUCGGGAAAAAAAUAAUGAUUCAAAACCAAUGAUGCAAUUCAGACCAUUAAAGCCGAUCUACACUAUAAAUAUGCUUAGAAACCAAAAAUCACCUACUUUGGUAAUAUCCAACGUAAGCAUCAAGUGGAUGUAAAAAUGAAUGAUUUUGCUAGUAUAAUAUUGUGUUUUGCUGGCAUUUAAUUAUCAAAACCUGGUCAAUUUAAAUCUACCCAUCUUUUAAGAUGUGUAGAUCAUGAUCAAUAAAGUGGAUUUCAAUUUGUAUACCCUAUUAUAUAUUUUGCUAGUGCAUUUAAUAUCAUUCAUUUUUGUACCCACUUGAUGCAUAGGUUAAAGACCAUCAAAAUAGGUGAAUUUUGGUUUGUAUUUUGGAAUCCAUUAGUGACAUGCAUAGUACCAAGGUCUCAAUCUGUUUUAAACAGUUUGUUAUACUGUACUGUGUUGGAUUGGACACAUGCAACUCGUCCAUUUUCUCAUGUAAUUUACUUCAUUUGACAGAAAAGCUUCUUGUCUUGCUACGUGAUGGAAGAAAGCUUUUGGGAAUUCUUCGCUCUUUCGACCAAUUUGGUAUACAUCUUUCAUGGCUUUGUUUUACAAAUAGUGUUGUAUUUGUGCUUCCAUGCGCAGAUGCUUAUUGUGGAACUGUCAUCUUUUCACAGCAAAUGCUGUUCUUGAAGGUGCUUGUGAGCGAGUAAUUGUGGGAGAUUUGUAUUGCGAUAUCCCAUUAGGUCUAUAUGUGAUUCGUGGAGAGAAUGUUGUGUUAAUUGGAGAGCUGGUAUUAUUUUCUCUUGCUUAAUUGACUAUUCAUGUGUUCUUGGGAAUGUGGGUAUUGCCUCAUUUGGUUUCUUAUCUUGUAGGACUUGGAGCGAGAGGAGCUUCCUCCCCAUAUGAUUUGUGUUUCAGCUGCAGAGAUAAGAAGGGUAUAACUACACAUGCUUGUUAGACAUAAUCUCUGUUUCUUUUAGUGCCUGUCAAUUUACAUAUGUGGUCCUUUUGCACUUGUGUUUUGCUUUAUGUUCAUUUUCUUACUUCUGGAUGCUGUCACCUGUGCAUGUGAACUGAAUGACUUUGACCUUGCACCAGCAUCUGUGCCACUAUUAUGUAGACAGUUUGCACAUGCCAAGUGUCCAGAUUUUCUUAAGUUUCCAGCAUCAAAACCUCCAGGGAAAACCGGAGAAGAGUGGCAUAUAUACAAUACAUACAUUUGAAACUAUAUAAACAUAUCAGGGAUACAUGUUAACUACUAGACUAAGUUGACCGUGCAGCUGAACUUUACAUUAAACAGAAAUUAUGUUUAUAUUGUAAAUCAUAUUUUUGAAAGGAUAGAAAUAUAGGAGAAGCUUUACUGGAGUCUAAACAUUUUGGGCUAAUAUUUUCUAGUGCUUCUAACGGUUGAUUAUUAAGUGCCUUCUUUUGUAGCUGACUUGAGGACUCUCCAUUUCUCAGAGUACUAGGCAGUGUCUUGCUCUGUCAUGGCCUCUUAAUGUUAAAAAGUGCCAGCAUGCAGAGUUCCUAAAAAUCAAAGUGCCCAUAUACACAUGGUAUUUAGUGAACCUAAAAGUCAUGGUUGUUAGGUGGCUCUAUUUAUAUGAUCAUGACAAUUUGCAAGCAUAUUGUGCAUCAGGUUCUUUGCUCCUUUUAUGCAUUCUCUGCGCCCGAGUUGAUGCCUAAAUUCUGAAGUACAAUAAGUAACUGAUUUGCCCAAAAAUUGGAUUCAAAAUCUUCACCUUUAUGAACUUUUGGCUUGUUUUCCAGUGACUUUUCUAAAGAAAUGCACUAAUCUAUCAAGUCCACUAGCUUCUAUUUGUUUUUUUAAUUUUAGUUUUUCUUUUUCAAGUGCCCCUGGGUCUAGCAGAACCAGUUAAAUUCAGAUGCACUUGGUCAGCUGUUAGUUUUUCCUCUGUAUCUCAUCUUGAAAAUAGAUAUGUCAUGCAUCUACCCGUAGUUAGUACCCCAACCAUUUUCUUCGUCAGUUCUGAACUGUUCAAUCCUUUCUGGAGUAAUGAAGUUGUUACAUUUCAUCUGCAGGCACAGAAAGCAGAAAGAGAUGCUACAGAUCUCAAAGGUUCCAUGAGAAAGAGAAUGGAGUUCCUGGAUCUGGAUUGAUAGCGAAGUUAUUUGCUCAUGCUCACACACUACCGUUUUGGUGAGUGGUUAUGUCAUCUUACCCGCAAAUUUUAUCGCGGUUUGGUUCAGGGAUGCUACCUAAAGCUUUUCUUGGCCCUUUUCCCCUUGUUUGCUGCAAUAUUUGCCAAAAUGGUGUGUACCGUUGCUUUUCAUAGUGUAACUUAUCAAAGCUGUGGAGUGGUGCAUAGUGAACGGAUGGUUUUAGCAUCAGGAUGUUUCUUUUGAUUGGAUAAAGCCUGCUGUAUUUCAGUUUAAUGGUAGAUGCAAAUUUAAAUUAACCUCAAGAGUCUUUUACCCAGCCAAGUAUCAUUCUGAAUUCCGAUUUUCAUGCCUUUGUUUUCACAGAAUGACUAAUACAGCUCUGGUUGGCUAGGUCCAUUAUAUAUUACUGUAGUGUUAUCUACUACUGGUCUACUGCUGUUAUUCCUAAUCUUGUUUGCUCCCAGCAAGAUAGCGAACAUUCACAGGCAAGAACCAGAUUAACUGUGUAUGAUGCCCAACAAUGGCUUGUCAAGAACUUUUAGUGCCCUAGGCUGACCAGUGACUUACCUAGAUGUCAGAACUCUGGAUGACUUGAGAAUUGAGAGUUCCUAUCAACAGCUAUUUUAAUAAACAGAAUCUAUAGAUCUUGUAAAGUCGGCAUGAAUCGUUCUUUGCUGGUUAUUGAGAGAUGCAUGCAAAGUAAUGGAUGCCAGGUGCAUGAAUCAUUGCCGAGCUGGUUAAAAUGAACCAAUUUGCUAAAUGUGCUUUUUCUUCUCCCAUCUGCCCUAAAACUGCUCUGUGACUUGAUUACUACAGUGUUAUCAUUAGAAACCAUGUAUUAAUUAAGAUGAAUAAUUCAUAUGUAAAUGUUAUAAAUUAUUAGGUGUAGAAAGUUUUGCACAGUUGCAUUAUUUUGAUUUUGAAGUUAACCCAAUUCGAUCAAAGAGUAAAUUUUGUGUUGAGAAGCUGCGCCCUAGCCAAGCAAAUGAGGAAAUUUUGUUAAGCAUCACCGUUGCAGUUUUUGAUAAGCUCGAUAUAUUUUGAAUUGGAUGAUUCGAGUACAUCGAUCAUCUAGCUCUAUGGAGGCUCUUCUUAAUUGCCCCUCGGUUUGCAUUGUUCGUGACUUGAAACAGCUGUUUGCACGCCCAUAUCCACGUGUGUACAAGUGCACGCACGGAAAAUGCCAAACAAAAAAGAAGCAAAAAAAACAAUUAAAAAACAAAGUAGGAGUUUCCACUACCAUAUAAUGAUAUCAAUGAUGGUAUUAAUACUAUGGACAUAGAAGUUCAUAUGCAAUGAUUUCGUCAGCCAACCCCAGCUAAUAGAAAACAAAACUGUUGCAGAGGUAUAGCCUGCAUGUUCACAGGGUGGAGUCAAACCCAAUUAAAAACUAUGUGGUGGGUAUUAGAAGCGGGCUAGAAAUCGAUAGCAUUCAUUCACACUGCGUUGACAACAAAUCUGAAAACGAAAAAUCAUAUUAUAAACAUGUUAGGAAAAAGGUGAAAAUUAUGGUGAUCAAAAAUUCGCAUCAUACAUGGGCCUGACUGAUAUUUAUCGAAGGGAAAUUUUUCGAUAAUAAAUACACCCUGUUCUAGACAAAUAUUUUGUAUAAUAUGCAGAAUAAUAUUGUUAAAAAAACUAAAGAUUCUAAUCUUUUUGAUUAAACAAAAAAUAAUCAUACGGAUAUUAGAUGGAAACUUGAGUAUUACUCAAACAAUAUUAAAUUUUUGCUAUGACUAUUUGUUGUGGUGUAGCUACUGGGUUGGGGCCAUACGGAUGCUUAUUAAUGUUUUUGUACCGUGUUUUAAUAUCUACGUAAAUAAAAAUAAAAUAUAAUGAAAAUAAGAUUAUGAUGUAUUUUUAUUAAUACAAAUAAAUCAGUCCUAAUUGCUGCAUUCUAAGAUUUUUCUCAACAAACCCUUUUCAAUUUCAGGUUAUGUUGGUAUUCAGUCUAUUCAAUGAUUGGUCUAUUCUUCAUGAAACAAGUUGCAGCAUGAGCUCAAAGGAAAACCCUGCUCAAUAAAGUCUCCGUUAACUGUUGCAUCUUCGCCGUAUUUACUGUUGAUUUGUAUUGACUGCUCUUCCGUUGGAUCUUGUACUAUUUGCCAAUCUGGUUGUUAUUGAUUUGAAGACCCAAAUUUGAUACUGAAUUGUAACUCUAUUUGAAUUUAAAUAGAUCCUUGUACUCUGCUAAUUCUACUGUACAUUCUUCUUAUUCUCUCUACAUAAUUCUAUUUCAAUAAAUUUGGAUGGUCCAUCAAAAAAAAAACUUCAAAAUUUAUCUGCAAGCAAAUCUAUAGUAAAAUUUUACCAUCCACUUCACGGUGAUCCCAAUUAUUUUAAUUUUUUAUAAGAUUUAAAUCAACUUAUUUUAACGCUACUUCCAUUUAGAGAUUGAAACGGUGCAUAAGAGAGGUUGAUAUGGUCGAUGUCCCCCAAACCAAUUACCUACUUCCACCAAUUUCAUAACGAGAACUCCAUAGAGAUAUGUUCAUGAAGUUCUGCCGUUUCUAUUUCUAUACAUGUUCAUGCCUGGUAUUUCGGCCCUCCAUCUUUUCAAAUCGGAUCUCAUCAGCAGAUUUGGGUUAGCGGAGCCUGGUUUAAUCGGUAUGAUCCGUUUCCAGAUAUACUUUUUUUUUUGUUGGGGGGGGGGGUCAAAUUCCAGAUAUACUUUCCGUGUAAGUAUGUAACGAUAGUUGCACUACAUCAAUCUCAAGGGUGUGCCAUUAUACUUUGUAGACCCUUGGCCCGGCCCUUCUUGGCUCUACUGUCCCCCUCUCUUUCCUCUCUUCUCCGUUUCUCCAAAAAACGAUCAGAAUUCUCAAAACCCUAGCUAGGUUUUGGAGUUCUCGAUCUUCUAUCGAUCAGUUUGCCAUCAAACCCUCUCAGCUAUCGAUCUUCGAGAUACUCGGUGAGCGAUUCCCGGAGCCAUGCCGGACGUCCAGGCCCUCGUUAAUGAUUUCGUUCUCAAGCUCAAGAGACGGUAAUCUCCCCCUCUCCGACUCCUAAUUCUACUCCGUGGACUUUCCUAUUGCAUUUAUUUGAUCUGGUGUUGUUUGUGACGCAGGAAGAUCGAGGGGUCGCACGCGAGCGCGCGGCAUACGGCGGAGCUGCUCCGGUCGGUGAUCUCGCAACAGAGGAUGCCACAUACGAACCAGGCGGGGGCGCUGAUCGAUGCCGUUAAGGCGGUCGGCGAGCAACUUAUCGCCGCAAACCCUGUCGGUGGGUCUCUCGAACUGGGACGAGCUUCCUUGCUUAGAUAUUUUUUCCGCUUUAUCAAAAUCUGACCAAUUGUACCUCCCGCUAUAAAUUAAGGAACUUGCUUGUUUUUCUUUUAAUCCAACACAGAUAGUUGAAAGCAGUUGAUUGUUUACGAUAUUUUCGUUAUUUUUGUCAAUGUUCCCUGAAAAAAUCCUGGCAAUCACAAGGUUUGGUUGCUAACUUGUAAGGUAUAAGAGUUAAGUCGCAAAAUAUUCUGUUCUAAUGGAAUCAACUUCCAUUUAAUAUGCUAACCAUUUAGUGCAAUACAUUAUUGCAAUAUUCUAUUGGCAUUAGAAAUUAUUCUUUAACUAAGUUAUUGCAGGUGAUAUAUAAAUGAUGAUAUGAACAGUCAUAAGGAUGAUGUAUUUGUAUCCUAAAAAAAAGGAAUAGACAAGAAAUUGGAAGGGGAAAAUUAGCUUUUUCUUGAGAUGAAAAGACACACUAUGUGGUGUUGGCAUCUAGGAAGUGGAUGGGUUGAGGGAUGCUUCUAGUGUUUAGCUUUUGGACUUUGAGAAUAUGAGCUUAGUCAGCUGUCAUUUGUCUUAGUUGAAGGAGGUUGGUCCUCAAAAUGUGAAGCCUAUAAGGAAAUAGAUUGAUAUGAAAAUAUAAAAAUAAAUCUUUAUCACAUCUGCAAAUAGUCAAUGGUACCACUUGAGAUUAUGUCUAUUAAACCACAGGCUGAAUGGAGUCAGCAGUUUUAGUUUUUUUGUUUAUCUUAUAAGAUUUUGGGCUUGAUUAUGUGUUUUUGAGGAUUUUAAACAUUUCUAGAUUGGUCAUUGACAACCUAAGUAGUCAAGGUCAUAUAUAGGAAAGUCUGUAUUUUAAACAUAGUGUCGCUUUAGAUCGAUUCUGAGUCCUUUUCUUUUUUUUGGCUGAAGCCUUGAGGAUCCUUUUUAGGAUUAGAAAUUUUGCAGCAUAUAUCUUUUACAUCAUUUUUUGGGUUCAAAAAUGUUGAUUAUUAUAAGAUGACAUUUUUAGGGUUUUUUUUGUAAGUUAUUUUGGGGUGGAACCUACAUGCCUUCUCAUGUCUUCGUAUUCUCUUCUAUUUCUUCAUUAGUACUAAUUCCUAAUUAUUGAACUUCAGACUUUCAUACAUAACAGCUUGAGUCACGUUGAGAAUUCUUUUUCUCAAUAAAAAAAACUGAAGAAUAUAGGUCGAAGUGGGAAAGUAACUCAUAUUUAUAUGAAAUUUAUAUUGAGGGGAGAAAAGAUGACAAACACAAAG
rnacentral:lncRNA from 1 species